AAGGCCGUUAAGGUCUGCCAUGCAUCCUGGCCACUCUAUAGUACACCGUGACCCUCCUCUAUACAAAUUAUACAGCGGCGGGGCUUUCUAACUAAAUCUGCAACCAUACUAAAAAAUAAAUAAAAAAACUAGUUACUUCAAUAAAUUACACUUAUUGUAGGUAUAAUUUACUGAACAAUUAUAGAGGCUAUAGAGAGAGAAAGAUGCGGCAAUAUUAGAGAGAAGAGAUAGAUGUGUAAUUGUGAGGUGUAUGUUAUUCCACGUCAUUGUGCCUUUAUUUAUAGUAGUAGGUGUGGAUGCAAAUUUCUUCCUCCUUGAUCUUGGACAAUUUUGCACCUACAAAACAAUUAACACCUAAGGUUAAGGCCAAGAGCCUCACGCGCCCACGAUGAAUGGGGGGGGCUUUGGCCGAAGAACCUCCGAUGCCAAAGAUGCGAGAAAGAGUAUUUAGAGAAUUUGAAUUUUUGAGAAAGUGUUUGAGAAUUGGCUUUUUUUUGAAUAAAGUUGGCUUUUUGAGUGAGAAAUGAGAGUAUAUUAUAUAGGAUAGGAGGUGGCUAGUGUUUUUUGGGUUUGAUUUAGGUUUAAUUAGCCAAUUUAUUUGGCUAUUAAACAUAAAAUGAAUGUUUUGGUGGUUUUUUGUAUAAUUGGCUAAUCAAUGUCACAAAAAAGGAAAAUUAUGGUGAAAAAAGAAGGAAAUGGCCGGCUCCCUUUGGAGAAGGGAUAACCGGCCUUUAGGGUGAUUUUUUGGGCUUAAUUUGGUGAUGUAAUUAGCCUUUAAUAUAUUGAUUAUAUUAAUUGGUUGAGGAUGUUAUGGAAUGUUUGAAAUAAAUGGCUAAUUGAAUAAGGAAAAAAUGAGGUAAAAACAUAUAUGGAAUGAAAUAGGUUUUGAAUUGUUACCCAUUUUUGGUACUCCUGACUUGGUUGAUGGAUGAUUCUCCACUGCUCGCGUGUAGGAAACCCGGUAUGCCUCGAGGGUAUUUUUGUCCUCUUUUGUCCAAAAGUCCACGUGUCGCCUAGUGAAUAUUUUUGGCUCCACAAAUGCCCCCACACUUGUUGGGCUGCUCGCAGAAAAGGGCAGCAGGUGUAGAGAUCUUCUUGCUUUAGGAAACUUAAGACUGCUUCCUAUUUUGAUGUUGAUUCUCUCUUUAAUAGGAAAUUAGAUCCUUCUAGGAAAAGGAAAUAAAUUUCUCUCAAAGCCUAUUUAAGUCCACCUUAAGUGGGUUAUUAAAUCAACUUUGGAGAGCGAUUUAUUCUAUCCUACAAGAGAGAGAUAGCUUAGAGGAUAUUUGUUCCCCCUCCUCUAGCAAUCUUCUACAUCUUGCCCGUGCAAAGGAUCGUCUUUCGUUGCUUUCUUCGUCUUCUUCGUGCCGCACCAAUGUACGAAAAAUUUAAUUUUUCUUGCCUUAUUCUUGGAUAGUGCUAUUGCGGGGUAGCCAUCGGGGUGGUGCAGCACGUCGGCUGGCAGGGGCUAGGAGCUGGCUCGGCAUGAGUUGAGGAGAUAUCGUGGCAGGGACCACUGCUUGGGUAGAUUGGCUUGGCUUGAGCCAAGGGCAGCUUGUGCAGCUGGGGUCGAGGAUUGUGGCGCUGAGGCGCAGUGCUAGGCGAGCCGCAUGGCUCAUGUCCUUUGGGCUCUUGGACCUGACUCGGGCCAGGCUGGCGAUUGAGAGAAACAAGGAGAUUGUGGGUUUUAUGGACUGCUGGAAUGUUGGGCAUGCAGGCCUCCUGCCUGCUGGAAUGCUGGGUUGAGCUCCCCUGCUGAGUACCAUGAAUGUCGUUGGCUGCUUAGUCCUCUUUGCUGAAAGAAAUGUGGGCUGCUCCAGAAAGAGGAGGUAAAGAGGAUCAAGGUGGAUGCAUUGGCUCGUCUGAUCGCUGUCGUGGAGCUUAUUAUGAAUGAAUAUGGAAAGAAGAGAUCUUCCCCGCCUGCUCAUGAGAUGCCAGUUAAGAAAAAACUGAAGACUUCUUCUGCUGCUCAUGAGGGUCCGCUUGCUACCGAGAGGUAUGUGAUUGACAUGACUUCUUCCAAUGGGAAGAAAAAUAAGGCUGCUAGAUCUGAGCAUGUGGUGUCUUCCAUGUUGAGAAUGGCUAGUACAAUUGUGGAUAAGAUAAGGAGCGUAAUCAUGCCCUCUAAUGCCGAAGUCUGUACCAGGAGUUCUUUGGAAGCCAAGUCUUCACCUUUGGCAAGGUUUUCUUUGUAUGAAGAGUGAAUGCUGGACUCUGAGUGGUAAGGUCUGUGCUAAAGUGGCCUUGCUUGGGAGAAUUGCUUGAUGCUGAGAUUGAUUCGCCUCAUUUCAAGAUCUUUAAGCUUGCAAUUUCUGAGCUUCCAAAGCUGCUUAUGCUAAGAAGGGAGUGGAUGAGCUUCUCUAUUUCUUAUUUUCCAUUUGAGCUUGCCAUUUUUUUAAGGCUUUGUGGAGCCCUUUGAAAUUGGUGCAGAAAUUAGGACUUGCUUGAGUUCUUUUUUUAGUGCCAUUGAGACUGGGUUUGCAGUGGGGAGGGUGAUGCGCUUGCCGGAUGAUGCCGCUGCAAAGAGGGUUACGACUGUUGAAGGUGUGGCGAUCGAGUAGUCGUGGGAUGUCCAAGCUGCUGUAGUGUAGUAUUUUAGGUAGCCUUUAGGAUUUUCUUUGUUUUUCCUUGUAGCUCUUGUUUUGCUUGAACUCCUUCGGCCUUUGCUAGUUGUUUAUAAACAUGUUUUCCUUCGUUUUUCUUCAUCUUCACUUCUUUUGUUCAUGCCCUAACCUUUAAACUUGAUAAACCAGUGGCAGGCAUGCUACUUUUUUAUAAGCAGACAAACUCGCGUAGCCUAUGCAGCCGUAGGUGUUGGUGUAGAACUUUGCAAAGUUGUUAGCCAUAGGGUUGGCAUCCGAAUGCCUUACUUACAGAAGCAGACAAGUCCGCGUAACCACUAGGUUGUUAACCUUGACUUUUUUCAAUUCCGUAGGUUGCGUAGCAAGUAUCACAACACUUUAGGACUUGGUGUAGGUUGUUCCGCGUUUGGCAGAGGUGAAGCUUAUCGACUACGUAGCAUGUCAGCAGUGGAUAAAACUUCGUAUAUGCGCGCUAGCUUGUUUAACCUUUCACAAGAAUGUGCGGUUGCAUAAGUCUAGCGCGACUUUACUACUCAAAGGGCAAGCCGUAGGUAGUCUUCCGGAAUCCGUAGGCUACCUUAGUGCACUCGGUAGCAGCUUUAGGAUUCCAGGGUAGCCGUCCAUCGAAUGUACUGCGUAAUGUGCCAUCUCCAUCUCUAGGGCCCGGUUCCCUACGGAUUAGGCCAAAAGACCCAAAAUCCUUCAGUUAGCUAAGCCUUGAAAAAGACCAUUGCGGCUACUUCUAGGAAUCCCGGCGCAAGCCAUCGUGCAUCUAGUUAUACUAGGGUAGCCAGGCUCAUCCACGUCUGGAUAUUUGGAGUGUAAAGUUUAUCCUCCCAUCUUGGAGAGCUGACCCAUAUGGGUGUCGGGGAAUUGGUUUACCCUCUUGCACUGGAGAGCAAUUAGUUUACCCUCUCGCACUGGAGAGCAUGGUUGGUCCCUCGGGGGGCGCAAUUCCUGCGAUGGGUUGUCAGUUGUUAUAAGCAUGCAGCCGGAGUGAUCAGUUGUUAUAAGCAUGCAGCCGAGCCAAGUUGUGAUUACUUCUGAAUUCCUCAUUGAAAAACGAGUGAAACGAACGAGAACUUAGCUGUAAGGUAGGAACUGCAUAACAACUGGAUAGUCCUUGACUUGUGAGGUGGUGCCCGUCGAGCUUCUUGAGUCUUCAGGCUUUGAUGUAGUGGGAGGUCACACAUGGUACUUCUUCAGAUUGUAGGCACUCCACUACUUUUCAAUAUUUUUAUCGUUUCAUGGUAGCGGGGGUAUAAUUACUCUUGUUGCCUAUUCUGCUAAGCUUGUACAGACCUUCCCAGAUGAGAUCCAUCUUUUUGGAUGUUUCGGCCUGCCUAUUGCCUUGAGGAUAUCUCGGCAUGGACAUAUGCUGCUUGAUGCCAUAUUUUUGGAAGAACUUCGCCAAAUCUUUGCCCACGAAUUGCAGGCCGUUGUUGGUGACGAUGGAUUAAGGGAUGCCAAAUCGGUAAAUGAUGUUCCUCCAUAUGAAGCGCUCUAUGUUCGUCUGAAUCGUGGUCGUCAUGGGAUCUGCUUCCACCUAUUUUGGUGAUGUAGUCGGUUGCAACGAACCACGGCUGCUCGUGAGUCUUUGUAGUUGGAUGCGCCGUUGACAUGCGAAUGCCAGAAAUCUCCAUUGAGGGAAUAUGUGCGGCUAAAGUGUGAUCGACUGCCUUCGGGGCAUUGUUGGGCCGAGUUGUUACGUUUGUCAGAAAACUUUGCAUCUGCCAGGGUCUACGCCUUUAUCGUCGCCGGUUUGGAUUUGGUGGAAUAGUGCGUCAUGAUGAUGACUGUAGGUAACUGUAGAAUACAGGUAGUCGGGCCCCCAGCUCUUCUCGCAUGAUGGUAGAGCUUAUUGCUACUUUAGAUACUGUCAAACAUGCGAAUAAGUCAUCCGCUGCUUCUAGGGAGGUGAUGUCGAGUACUUGUUCAAGUCCUUGAAUAUGCAUUGGCGAGCCUCAUCCCAAAGUGCAUGCUUCUCUGCUAAAGCAAAAGAGUCUGCCAGAGUUAGAUCUUCUUUCAUGAUCAAUUUUUCGAAUAGCGGGUGGUCUGCUGGAAGUCCUUUUUGGAAGACUGCUCUAGCUAUCGAGUCAUUGCAUCUGACUAUUUUUGCCUUCUUUACUUUGAACCUCCUCACAUAGUCGCGAAGCGACUCCUUUGGGUUAUUCUUGACGUCGAACAAAUGGUCAGACUUCUUUUUGAUCGAGCGAUAGAAUGAAUAUUCUUUGGUGAAAACCAAAGAAAGUUCGUAGAAAUUCCGGAUGGAUUGUGGCGGCAGGGUGUAGAACCAAUCUUGCGCCUCGCCUUGUAGAGUGGUGGCGAAUAUCUUGCACAUGAGAUCAUUGUUGUUUCGAUAAAGGAUCAUUGCACUUUGGUAACGUUUUAAGUGUCUCUCCGGGUCUUCAUCCCCUUUGAAAGAUGUGAAAUGUGGCAUGCUGAACUCGCGUAGAGGCUCUGCCUGCUCGAUCUCCUCUGUGAAGGGUGACCUGCUUAUGUUGGUUAUGUUCCGUCGUAGUGCCUCGUCGGUGACCUCGUUGCGUUGGAAAUCAUGUAAUCGCUUGGUCAAGAGUCUCUCUACUUCUUCCUGAAUUUGCCUUUGUUGGGGUAGCGGAGCUCUCAGCUGCCCCCAGUCAUGACUUGCUGGUCUAGGCUGCUCUUCCAUGUGUUUGGCUCGUCUAUGCCGCGGAUGCAGUACAUGUGGUGCGUUCCUAGUAGGCGAGCGAGUUCUUCGCAGGCUGCUGGUUGAACUUGAGCUAGAUUGAGUGACUGUUUCUCUCUGUCCGUCGUGCUGCCUACUCUGAUGUGAAGUGGAUGACGCUCCUUGUGGGCUUAGUUGUGAAUAGACACUUUGCCCGGAAGGUUGUUCAUGUUGACUAUCGGAGUAUGACCCCAACCGUGAAUGUAUGCUCCUCUGUGGGCCUAGUCAAGAGUGCAUGCUCCUUCGCGCUCUAAGACGGGAAUGUACACUGCCCAAACAUUCAGCUCGUGGCUGCUUACCGGGAUGCUGCUGGAAAUGUCCGUCUGCCCUUGUCCUACUUCGGGAUACCUCGUCAGGGGCACGUUGGAUCCCGAUGCGUUGCAAAAGUUGAUUCACCAAGGUUAUCUGUUGUGCAAGGGCGCUCGUCAACUCUAUGACUUGUCGAGACAAGUGUUGUUCGCCAUUUGGAUUGGAAGAGCUUGGAAGGAAUGCACCUCCUUGGGCAGUGGAAAGGUGGUAGACUCCGGGAGCGAGAUCUGAGUUGGGAAAUGCGUGAAAAAAUGUGGUGAGAAUACUCCCGGCUCGAUGGUAGGUCCAGAUGGUUGAGAUAGUCUUGGGCCGACUUGGGCUGCUUGGAAAGCCACGGGAGCAGUCUGGGCCUUGAGAGUGGGCUACUUGUCGGGAGCAGGCUGCUUGGCAGAAGCAGGUUGGGCCGUGAGAGUGGGCUGCUCGACGGAAGCAGGCUGGACCACGGGAAUGGGCUGCUCGUCGGGAGCAGGCUGGGCCACAAGAGUGGGCUGCUUGGCAGGACCAGGCUGGGCCACGGGAGUGGGCUGUUCGACUGAAGCAGGCUGGGCCACGGGAGUGGGCUGCUUGACAGAAGCAGGCUGGACCACGGGAGUGGGUUGCUCGUCGGGAGCAUGCUGGGCCACGAGAGCAGGUUGCUUGGCCGGAGCAGGCUGGGCCACGGGAGUGGGCUGCUCGUCAGGAGCAGGCUGGGUCACGAGAGCAGGCUGCUUGGCAGGAGCAGGCUGGGCCACGGGAGUGGGCUGCUUGGCAGGAGCAGGCUGGGCCCCGAGAGUAGGUUGCUUGGCGGGAGCAGGCUGGGCCGCGAGAGCAGGUUGCUUGGCGGGAGCAGACUGCUUAGAAUGUGAUACAAGCGAAUGCGAGACUUGGGCCCGGGCCCGUGCAAACUUGGAUGGCACGACUUGGGUCGUGGCCUUGGUGUCGUGAGCCUUGGAUGGCACGGCUCGAGCCGUGGUGAAGGCACCAUGGACCUCGCCACGGGUGGCUACCGAGGUAGCCACCGUGGUGGUUCCCAUGGUGGAAACUCGUGGUGGUGGUGCUGCUCCACUUAUUGUCGCAUUUAGCCUCACGGAUCUCCGCAAUCCCAUUUCUUGAACAUUAGAAUUUUCACUCGUGGAAUUUUCUAAAUUUCUAGCCAUUAUAUUUUGCUUAUACGUUUUAUCAAAUAACCUUUGCAAGUAAAAAAUUCUAAUAAUAAGAAAGUAUGAAAAAUAUUCAAAUGGACUAGAAAAUAAAGAAAAAACCUUUUUGUGCGAGAGUCUUCUACGAGUAUGGAUUUCAACUCUCAAUGAAAGCACCAAUUUGUGGAUGCAAAUUUCUUCCUCCUUGAUCUUGGACAAUUUUGCACCUACAAAACAAUUAACACCUUAGGUUAAGGCCAAGAGCCUCACGCGCCCACGAUGAAUGGGGGGGCUUUGGCCGAAGAACCUCCGAUGCCAAAGUUAGAAUUUAGAGAGAAAGAGUGUUUAGAGAAUUUUGGGAUUUUUGCCAAAGUGUUGGAAUUGGCUUUUUGGUGAGAAAUGAGAUUUAUAGGGAUAGGAGGUGGCUAGGGUUUUUUGGGUUUGAUUUAGGUUUAAUUAGCCAAUUUAUUUGGCUAUUAAACAUAAAAUGAAUGUUUUGGUGGUUUUUGUAUAAUUGGCUAAUCAAUGUCACAAAAAAGGAGAAUUAUGGUGAAAAAAGAAGGAAAUGGCCGGCUCCCUUUGGAGAAGGGAUAACCGGCCUUUAGGGUGAUUUUUGGGUUUAAUUUGGUGAUGUAAUUAGCCUUUAAUAUAUUGAUUAUAUUAAUUGGUUGAGGAUGUUAUGGAAUGUUUGAAAUAAAUGGCUAAUUGAAUAAGGAAAAAAUGAGGUAAAAACAUAUAUGGAAUGAAAUAGAUUUUGAAUUGUUACCCAUUUUGGGUACUCCUGACUUGGUUGAUGGAUGAUUCUCCACUGCUCGCGUGUAGGAAACCCGGUAUGCCUCGAUGGUAUUUUUGUCCUCUUUUGUCCAAAAGUCCACGUGUCGCCUAGUGAAUAUUUUUGGCUCCACAGUAGGGAAGGUUAAUUCCUUACCCCUUAGGAUUACAACAUUUAAUAGGUUGUUGAUGCAUAAAAUCGGAGGGCUUGGAAUAACGUAAAUUCGACUGUGAAUCUGCAAGAAAUGUAAUAACACAAGAUGUAUCGUGGUUCACCCCAAGGUUUGGGCUACGUCCACACUGAUUUAUGUAUUUAUCUGAGGGAGAGAGAGCUCUGAGAGUGAGAGCAUGGAGAGGGGGUCAGAGGGCCUAGGAAUUGGCCUCCUCUAAUUAUGAGGGUGAGGGGUCAUUUUAUAGAAUAAAGACUCCUUAUUACAUAUUUGCCCCUUCCUUUAUUACAUAAUUACAUUUAAGUCGUCCGAGUAUUUAUACGAGGUCUAAAUACGAGGCCCUAAAUAUGGUAUAAACAGUAGUCCCUCAAGUCUUCAGUUAAGAGAGUCUUUUGGCUGGAAACUUGAAAUUCAGUCCAUGUGUGGGCCGAAGUAACUAAAUGUUGUCUUGAACUGAGGUUCGAUAUGAGGCAAUGCUCAAUAUGAAAUGAUGCUCCACUAGAAGUAGCACACGCUGUAAGGCUGCUCGGCUCGUGGUUUAUGUUGCCUUGGUUGGCUCGGCUUGUGGCAUUUAAAGGUGAGGGAGUCCCUUUUAUAGAAUAAAGGCUUGCUCCUUAAUACAUGAAUGAUAGACUAGAGUUGAUGCUCGCGGCGAGGCGGUUGCUCAGUAGGCGGCGAUGCUCUCUAAUGAUGGUGAGGGAGUCCCUUUUAUAGAAUAAGGGCUCGCUCCUCAAUGCAUAAAUAAUGGGCUAGAGUCCCCUAAGUAUUUUUCAUGAGGCCCAGUUGAGGCCCAAUAUAUGGUGUAUAGUGUAGUCCCCCAAGUCUUCAGUCAACAGAGUCUGUUGGCUGGAGACUUCAAAUUGAAUCCAUGUAUGGGUCGAAGUGACGAUUGUUCGGAGGUGGUAUUUGUAUACCCUGCACUGAAGCUUUGUAGGUGAAGCUUUGUAAGUGAAGCUUUGAAUCUAGAGCUCUGUAAAUGAAGCUUUCGAAGCUGGAGCUUUUGUAAAUGAAGUUUUUGAAGCUAGAGCUUUGUAAAUGAAGCUUUUGAAGCUAGAGCUUUGUAAUGAAGCUUUUGAAGCUGAUUGACAUGAGUGAUGCUCAUGAAUGUUUAUGUUGUUUGACAUGAGUGAUGCUCAUGGAUGUUGUCAUGAGUGAUGCUCAUGAAUGUUAACAUGAGUGAUGUUCAUGAAUGUUGACAUGAAUGAUAGUCAUGAAUGUUUAUGUAUGAUUGUCAUGAAUGAUGCUCAUGAAUGUUUAUGUAUGAAUGACAUGAGUAAUGCUCUUGUAUAAUUUGGAGUAAUGGGCGUACUUUUGAUCACAUGGUUGGUGGCAUGAAGGAGAGUACGGGUUGUACAUUUCAUCACCUGGUUGGUGGUAUGAAUGGCUAGUUGCCAAAUGAUAUUGGAGUACGGGUUGUACAUUUCAUCACUUGGUUGGUGGUUUUACAUUUCAUCACCUGGUUGGUGGCAUGAAUGGCUAGUUGCCAAAUGAUAUUGGAGUACAGGUUGUACAUUUCAUCACCUGGUUGGUGGUAAUAGCGGCAGGUUGCCGAAUAAUUUUGGAGUACUGGGCGUACUUUUGGUCACCUGGUUGGUGAUAAUAGAGGCAGGUUGCCGAAUAAUUGUGGAGUAUUGGGCGUACUUUUGGUCACCUGGUUGGUGCUAUUUUGGGCUUAUGGGCAUUCGCCCUCCACAACAUGCAAGCACAUUUAUUUUGGGUUUUUUUUUUACCCUCUGAUGGGGUUUAUACAUAUUACCUUCUGAUGGGGUUUAUACAGAUGUCUCCGAAAGAUAAUAAAAAUAAAUUACAUUAUUCCAGUGGGAUGCUUAUUUCUUGCUUUUGCAGUGUCACCAUGUGCUCUCGCAGAGCAAAGUCUCGUAAAUGCAAAAUCUCUCCCUUUACAUGGUGCUUUGCCAGGGCCGGAAAGUUUGAACCAUGUGUGCAUCAUUCAUGAGGUAGGGCUUUCUGUUUUUUUUUUCUGCUUUUCUUUCUGCUUUCUGCUUUUGUUUUUCAGAAAAUGGGAACCUGCAUGAUGAAAGUGUGGGCAUUGGUGGUCGACAAAAGCAAAAGUAGCUUCAAGUGGUUUUGAACGGCAGUAGAAGCACCAUGACUUGUCGACGGACGACUUUUGCUGUCUGGGAAGGCGUUCAGGAUUAGAAAACCGGAGAUUCUGGGCAUGAAGUAUUUGGCGUUGAGUCAUCAGCAUGUUUUUUCUCCUAUGGCAUGGAGAUGGGUACUUGUGGUUCCUACAUCGCAGCUUUCUUCCAUAAAUCUCUGAGCACUGUGGGUAGUCCCCCUCACAACACCUGCUCAAGAACCUUGGCGGAGCUCUGCUCAACAAGCCUGGUCAAAGUCUCAAUCUUGACAAGCAUUUUCUCAUACAAGUCCUCGACGCCCAUGGUGUAAUUCGCAUCCUCCGAACCCAUCAACCUAUUGAGGCUUCCAACAUCCAAACCCUCACUACACAUAUCCAUUUCACUAUGAUCCUUUUUAUGCUUCUUCAGUUGAUCUAAGCUCUCCUCUCCUCUGUCGACAUUCAUCGGUGAAAACCUAAGCUCGCAGGGUAAAAUUGGGAACGGCGAGCUAGGGUUGAAAUUUCAGUAAUGGGCUCGGAACGCGGGCCCAAUGUUGACAAUCUGGAUUGAUUUCGGCUCGAAUGAGUGAUUAGAUGGCUGGAACUGAUAGGCACGGUACUCAUGAGUGUGGAUGGUCUGAUCAGUGACCGGAAAAGCGAAAAGGCAAGAGAGAAAGGGAGAGGAGCGACAUGAGCCAUCUGAGUCGUCAAUUGAGAAUUAGGGUAGGGCGUCGGCUGCUGAAACGACGGUGUUUGCUGCCGUUGAUGCUGAGUUUGAGAAAAGAACGGAGUGUUGAAUAAGGAGCCGCCGAAGCCACCGGCACUUAGAUAGGAACAGAGAAUCAAAAGGCUCAGAACUCCUCUGGUUCUGAAACAAAGCAUUGAUGACGGAUGGUUCUGUGGGAUCGAGGCUAUGUUAGUUAUGUGGGACGGUUUUGUGAGGUUUCACCUCUGUUCCAAAAUCCUGGCGAGAUCGAAGACUGUCGAGGACGGAUCGUCGUCCACUGUUUGAUCAUUGUGAUCUAGAGAUUCUGACCCGGCUAUGGCGCUAGAAAGAGGGCUUAGGAGGAUUGACGGAUGACUCGUGGCACCAGCUGAGAAUGGCGGACGUUUUGCUCAUUCGUCACUACCAUUGUUAGUCACAAAAAUAGCUCUACCACUUCUUAUACUUUGAUUAUUCUGCAUUGAUAGUUUGAGACUUGAAAAGAAGGAGAGGCGCAUCUCGAGUUGGGUUUCUUCUACUGUUUGAGUAGAGAGAGAAAGACUGAAGCUUUUUAUUUUCUUCUGAGAAUGGAAGAGAGAGAGAAAAGGUUUUCUGGAAAAAAUCAAAAAGUGAGGUUUUGGGCCCCUGGGUUUUGCAGAUUCACAGUGGACAGUGAUGAGGUCUCACGGUGGUGAGAUGAAAAAAUGAAAGAGAACCGACAUAGCUUUUCGUGUCGAUUCCCAUAGAUGGCGCCAAAUGUUGAUGCACAAAACCGGAGGUCUUGGAACAACGUAAAUCCAAUCGUGAAUCUGCAAGAAAUGUAAAUAACACAAGAUGUAUCGUGGUUCACCCCAAGAUUUGGGCUACGUCCACACUGAUUAUGUAUUUAUCUGAGGGAGAGAGAGCUCUGAGAGUGAGAGCAUGGAGAGGGGGUCAGAGGGCCUAGGAAUUGGCUUUCUCUAAUUAUGAGGGUGAGGGGUCCUUUUAUAGAAUAAGGACUCCUCACUUAUUACAUAUUUGCCCCUUCCUUUAUUACAUAAUUACAUUUAAGUCCCCCGAGUAUUUAUACGUGGUCUAAAUACGAGGCCCUAAAUAUGGUAUAAACAUAGGUAAUCUACUCAUAAUAGGAAUAUAAGAUACAUUCUCAUAUCUACUAGGAUUUACACAAUCACAUUCCUAAUCUAAUAUGAAUGCAACACUCCCCCUUGAGUAUGUUAAUACUCAAGUAAAUGGUGUAUCAGGUUUUCAGCGAUGAAGUAAGUACAAUUGAUGAAGUUGUCGGCACAAUGAGCGAAUGCAAUUCUCAAAUUAACGGAACAUGUAUAUUAUACCGUUGGUGAAAAUUACGCAACAUACAUAUAACGUUUAGCAAAAAUACGAGAAUAAAAUCACUUCCAAGUCGAAAUAGUUAAGAGAAGAAAGUAAGCAAAAUAAGGGCGUUAAGGUCUGCCAUGCAUCCUGGCCACUCUAUACUACACCGUGACCCUGCUCCAUAUAAAUUAUACAGCGGUGGGGCUUUCUAACUAAAUCUGCAACCACACUAAAAAAUAAAUAAAAAAACUAGUUACUUUAAUAAAUUACACUUGUUGUAGGCAUAAUUUACUGAACAAUUAUGGAGGCCAUAGAGAGAGAAAUAUGUGGCAAUAUUGAAGAGAAGAGAUAGAUGUGUAAUUGUGAGGUGUGUAUUAUUCCAACCCAUUGUGCCUUUAUUUAUAGUAGUAGGGAAGGUUAAUUCCUUACCCUUUAGGAUUACAACAUUUAAUAGGUAAUCUACUCCUAAUAGGAAUAUAAGAUACAUUCCCAUAUCUACUAGGAUUUACACAAUCACAUUCCUAAUCUAACAGGAAUGCAACACUCCCCCCUUGAAUAUGUAAAUACUCAAGUAAAUGGUGCAUCAGGUCUUCAGCGAUGAAAUAAGUACAGUUGAUAAAGUUGUCGGCACAAUGAGCGAAUGCAAGUCUCAAAUUAACGGAAGAAUGCAUAAAAAGUAAAACUCAUAAAACCUCGCUAUGGUCAAACCCAAGGUGGGAGAAAAACUCAUAGACUAAGGAGAAAAGUGAGAAGUUGCAUUAAGUCAAAACUAUACGUCUUUUGGACGAAAGUAGUAGAGCUCAUAAGGGUAUGAUCAAUCCUGGAUGGGUGCCUCGUUAAAACCUAGUUAGGUAGCAAAAAUCCAGUGGAAAAAAUGCUCCUAAUCAUAGGGAAAAAUAGUACAUUAAGAUCAAGUGAGUAUACUUCUGGAUACUCCCCCUGAGUUUGACAUAACUUCCAAAUGAGAACUACAAACAUUGCAUAUGAAUAGUUAGGCAUACCAAUUCCUUGGACAAGCUUCUGGAAGGUUGACUUCGACAGUGACGUCAUGUAGAGGUUGGCAAGGUUGUUUGGGAUCGGCUUGCAUGACUUCAAUCUCCUAAUGCUUUGAUGAUGUAGAUGUAAACAUAAUAUGUCUUGGUGUUGACUUGUAUCAUGGCUUGGUCUGGUGGAUACAUGAUGCAAAGUCUUUAUGGAUCGUCAUUGGGACUCAACGAUGGAUGAAAACAGCAAGUACUUCGAAUAUGCUAAACAAUAACUCCUAACCAUGUCUCAUUUAUGGCGUAGUAAAGUGAAGUAAGUCUUGGAACGAUUCGAAGAUUUCGUAACUAAGGUCAUAUCGUGGACCUCCAAGAUAUUGCGAUAUCCCUAAUGGUAAAGACAUAACCAUUUGAGGAUUUUGCCUUGUGCGGGUUUGAUAUGCAACAUGCGUCAGCAUAACAAAUAACCCGUGUAGUUCGACUAGUAAACCAAAAUACCAUCAGAACAAUGCUUCAACUUCAUGUCAAGGCAUAAACGAAUUUUUCCUAAGAUCUUUCAUCUCAAAUUCCAUCUUCAGGUGCAAGGCAGUUUUCUCAAGCUCUUCUAGAGUCUUAGCGAGAUUCGUGUCAAAGACAUAAACUGUAACUUUAGCAAUUCGGAGUAAGACUUCAUAGUUUAACAUGCAAGGGCAUAAUUGAUAUCCCUGACUGAUCAAAUAAUCACUUAGACGGGUAUACCACAUUUGUUGGAUUGUAAGUGAAUGCCUCAAACAAGUUAAGAGUGUGUUCCGUGGUUUUGGAACUAUUUGAACCAGUCCAUGUAAUUAUUCGGGAACUUACAUGUAAAUCUCCGUAUUUAUAUUCCUAUGGAGAAAACAUUAACCACAUUACAUAAUGCUCUUAUCAAUCACAGGACGUUUGAGAGAAACCUUGUGCCGUAAGGCGUGAAUCAUAUCGUACUAUUUCAUUCAUCUCAUAACGCUUCCUUUCCUACUUGUAACACAAUAGGGUUACCUUGGGCAGUGUAGGAAUGACAGGUCCAAUACACACUUUGGUAAGGAAUUUGACCUGGAUUGUAAUUUCAGUUGUCUAGUCAAUUUUACGUUGUCACUUAAUCAUAGGAACAUGGUUCGAUAUUGUUGCUUUUCAUUUAUGUCGGUAGCUACCAUAUAAGUGAAAACAUCAUCGAUGAUAAUCUCAUUUCAAUUCCAUUUAGCUCAUCCAAACUAGUAUACUGGACCAAGAACUUCAAGUCUAAGGACUAAUCCGGAUUAAUCUCAUAAGAUGGAAAUGAUUUGAGAUAGCGAUCAAGUAUGGAUUCAUUUUGUGCCGUAUCUUCCUCUUCUAGGGAAGUGAAUCCGACGAACCGAGUUAUCUGUCGUGCUCUAGGCCAAGACAAAUUGAUUGGCUAUCCGCGUGUGUACCGGACCGUCCAACAGAGGCGUCUAAACCAUCCAAUAAGGGAUGUUGACUCGACGUCCGUUGAGUACGUCUAUCCUUGUAGGCAUGUUUGCAGCUGGUAUAUGAUCUCGUAACUUUAGCUAAAUCAGAGGAAUGCGUUUUGAGCAACAUUCUAAAAGCUAGAAUUUAUCGCACUUGCUUAUCACACUUGUGCGGUAUGGGUAUCGAGAUGUGACAUAGUGGGCAAUGUCCACACAAAUUCAAGCUGUUAUCUAGGAACAUUGACGUUCUUAUCUCCCCCUAACAGCGGGAAGACUGUCUCAUUAAAUUGAAAACCCACAAAUAAGUGGUAAAGAGAUCGCAUGCAAGGGCUCUAAGAGUGCUAGUGUGAAAAAGAAUCAUAAUCGACAAAAGAAACAUAUCCUUCUUUGAGGACCCAUGUUGGUACGUUGUGGUGGCGUAACUUGGCGCAUGAAAUGCACACCCAAAUGCGUAAAUACGAAAAUCGUUAGGUUCGUAUCUAGUAACCAAUAACGUCAAAUAGGUUGGGUGGCAAUGGGCCUCAAGGCGGACCAACAUAACUGCGUACAAGAUUGCAUAGCCCUAGGCAAAAACCAAAAACUUGGUACGUUCACCAAAAUUCGGGUGAUCAUUUAAAUUGCACUUUAUGAUCACUAAGCGAGGCUAUUUGGGGUGAAUAUGGAAAUUCGAUGUUCAAUUAUAAACCUAAAAUACAUGCAAUACUUUAUCGAAAACUGUCGAUAUAAACUCUUCGGCAUUAUCCAGUCUCCCGGACCUUAAGGGAUAAGUAGGGUGGUGAGCCUUUAAUCGGCCAUGAGGUUUAGCAGCAAUGUGUGUGGACAAACAUGUGAUCAGUUUAUCAAUUCAUCAACCAAAAUCAUAAGUAUUUAUAUGGUCCACAUUUUGGUUGGAUUAGUCUACAUAUGUUCCUUUGAAUCCACUGUGAAAAGAUAGUCGUUUCGUAUCUUUGCAAUGGAUGAUUUAGAAAAUCAAUUUCCCUAAUGAGCAGGCUUGACAAAGUAUGCUUGUAGGCACAAGAUUGUUACUUCAGGUAAGGAGAUGCGUUGUAGCAUCAUUGUUCGACCUAAGUGUCCCAAAAAGGUCGUGCUAAAUCAAGUAAACUGCUAAAUCACUAAGCUCCAGGUCGGCCACAUGUGGUGUGUUCCCAGUUAGGAGACAACCCAUUGGCCUCAAAUCAAAGCUUCAGGCUCAUUUUUGGAGGUGGUGCAAAGAUAUUCCACUAUAUUUUCAUAAGUGGUUUCAUUUAUGAUCAUUGUUCUCUAGAAUAUCCUUAAAAACUCAACAAAAGGGAGAAUUUAGGGUCCCUUAAAUGGUAAUUCGAUACCAUUCUUAUAACGAGUAGCGUGUCGAUGCUUUUAAUCAGGUUGGAUAUACUUGAAGUCAUUGUUAGAGAUGUGAUUUAGGUGUAAAGUUAGUGUGCGUACUAUUGCAUUCAUUCAGACAACUAACUUUCCCACAUUCCUACCUAAUCACGUGUUUAAUUGAAUUGGUCACAUGUAUUAAGAAACAUGAUUCAAUUAACUCACAUUCGAGGACAAUAUCAAUAAGAUUAUCCAUAAGUAAAACAUACACCAAACUUGAAUAUAAGAACAUGGAAAAAUGUUCACAAAGUAAAUGGUUUACUGAGGGGAUUCGGCCAACAAGGCCAUCCAUGUCAAAAUUUUGCUCUUCCAAUGAUGUUCGGUGGAGCAAAAUUAAUCUCACAUAUUGACUACGAGAAUGGUACUCUCAACAACAUUGGUAGGGGCACAGACAGGUGCAUAAUCAAUGAUCUAUUCCAUCGAGACGGAAAUAGAUUCUACAGGGUUGAGGUUUGAGAAUAUUAUCCCUUAUUCUUGAAGUUUUAGGUCUUAAGUACGAAUGAUCACGCAUCAGGCAUGAUGCCACACCUUGGCAGGCCUUGAUUCUACCAUAUGUUGUAAAAACAAAAUUGAAAUUGGAUUGUGAUUGGGUUCGGUAGGCUCAAGCCGGUGACCUUUACCGAAGCAGAGCAUACCUUUCGGUACAUCAUUGCCGAAGCAGGGCAUCACCGUUUGGUAGGCUUUGACCGAACUGGGUCGAGCCAUUUUGGUAGACUCUAGCCGAACUGAGUCUAUACCUUUCUCUCACAUUUGUGGUAGUAAUCAGAUUUAAGAAUUUGAUAAACUUCCGCUUUCUACAUUACUGCUUUAGGGGUGAAUUAGAAACAAAGAAGGAUGAGAAAAACUUUCUUUAGUCAAAAUUCGAUCAGAUUUAUAAACUUCAGAAUUGUAUUUAUUCAUGGAUGUAAUCAUGGUGUGCUUCAGGCAAUGUCUUUCAUGAUUAGAUAGUCCGCAGGAACGAGUCAAAGAGCCAUGGAAUACUCGUUCGGGUGGUACUUCAGUUUGUAAUGCUUUGGGCAUAAGUCUUCGAAUAAAGAUCAUGGUAGAUGCUUAUUCAGCUCUUCCAUGCCAUUGUUGGCGUCAGUGGUUUCUCAGCUUCUUGAUAGUCAAGUGGAGAUUCACGUCUUGUACCCCACAUAAAGUGGUUUCUAUUAGAAACGUCCAAAUUAGAGAAAUCGAACUUGUGACGGUCAACAAUCCAUUGAAUUGGAGGGAACAAGAUUGUGAUUGGUAUUAUGGGAAUGAAUCAUCCAUAAGCAUCAAAGUUAGAACAUUCGAGUUCUAAGACAUGGUUUUCAUGAGUGUAUUGUUUUAUGAAAACUUUCGGGUUUCAAAGGCACUAAAUUUGAAAUUACGGGUUCAAUUUUAGUAUAUGAACGUUUAGUUCGUAAAAGAGAGGUUCCUGCAAGAACACAUAAUGAAAUAUACAACUAAGUGUAGUGGAUUUGAGUUGCUUCGGGAACUCAAGUGUGAGAGCUUAGUUACUACGAAAGUAUGUCAACGGUUCAAAGUAUAAAAAUAAAUUAUUGAAUCAUUAAUGUCCAAAAGUGAUCUUCAGGUCAAUAAAUUUGGAUUCAUUAUUAGAUUAAUGGACUGCAGGUCACUUUUAAUUAAUUCAAUAAAUCAGGGCAUAGGGGUCGAUUGUAGAAGCUAAAUAAUAUUAAAAUAAUAUUAUUGGGUCGAAAAUACCAUAGCCUAAAAAUUGGGCUGGGUGCCGUGAGCAAAAGGCUCGGGUGUGGCUGCAAUAGUAGCCUAUGGGAUGGCUUCAGGCCACAUGCCUAGGGUUUUGAAGUCCAGCAACAAAUGCUGGCUUAAUUAGGGUCGAUGGAGGGUACGGGUUAGGCUUAGUAGAUUGCUGGCCUUGGGUUUGCAUGGGAAGGCAAGCUCAGCGAGGCUGGCUUGCAAGCUUUUGGGUCACAUGAGGCCCAACCACAGGCUAGGGCCGAGUUAUUGGGCUGCGGCACAAGCCCAACAACCAAAAAGGUUGUGGCAUAGGGCCGGGGUGAGGCAAGGGCCUAGUAGUAAGUGGGCUGUGGCAGAGAACCAGUCUAGUUAACCAUAAAACUGGUGCAGACGGGUCGAGGCUUCAAGCUUGUGACAGUGACAAGCUCAACAUGGCUUCAGGCAUGCGGGUUGUGGGUCGAGUUUUGGACCAGGGCUUUCAGGCCCGUGAGAUAGCCAUCCUAGGUCGAGGCCUGAUUAAAUGUUGAAGAAAGGCAGCAAGCCCAGAGGGCUGCGCAAAGGUCCAAAUCGGUGUCCCAAGGUUUGUCGCCAUAGUGGUACUAAAAAUUACCCAUUUUUUUCGAACCUAGGGUUUAAAAUCCUAAUUGCUUCUAAUUUAUGAAUAUACUUUGACUCACAUAUUCCACAUAGCAAAUAUAAUUGCGUAAUGCAUGAAACAAAUAUAUGGAACAUAUAAAUAAAUAAAUAAAUAAAUAUAUAUAUAUAUAUAUAUAUAUAUAUAUAUAUAUUGAAGGUAAAUAUAAAUGUAAGGGGUUCAUGCAUCAUGAGGAAUGUUUUCAUGCUUCAUGGUCGUUUCAAAUAUCUUCCUUUAUUUUAAGCGUACCUGAUUGGCAGAAAUUUACAAAAGCCCUUGAAUUUGUAGAAGUUUGUUGAUGCACAAAACCGGAGGGGUUUUGGAACAACGUAAAUCCGAUCGUGAAUCUGCAAGAGGUAAAUAACACAAGAUGUAUCGUGGUUCACCCCAAUGUUUGGGCUACGUCCACACUGAUUAUUGUAUUUCUCUGAGAUGUUGAAGAGGGAGAGAGGGAGAAAGAGCUUCCUUAUGUGAGGAUGAGCUUCUCUGAAUAUGAGAGGGGAUGUCAGGCCUCCUUAAUUGUGAGGGUGAGGGGUCCUUUUAUAGAAUAAGGGCUCUUCACUUAUUACAUAUUUGCCCCUUCCUUUAUUACAUAAUUACAUUCAAGUCCCCUGAGUAUUUAUACGAGAUCUAAAUACAGAGGCCCUAAGUACGGUAUAAAUAGUAGCCCCCCAAGUCUUUAGUCGAGAUGGUCUUUUGGUUGGAGACUUGAAAUUCAGUCCAUGUAUGGGCCGAAGUAACUAGGUGUUGUCUUGAAUUGAUGCUCGAUAUGAGGCGGUGCUCAAUCUGAAAUGAUGCUCAACUAGAAGUAGCACAUGCUGUGAGCCUGCUCGGCUCGUGGCUUAUGUUGCCUUGGUUGGCUCGGCUUGUAGCGUUGAAGGUGAGAGAGUCAAUUUUAUAGAAUAAGGGCUCACUCUUCAAUACAUGAAUGAUGGGCUAGAGUUGAUGCUCGUGGCGAGGCGGUUGCUCAGUAGGCGGCGAUGAUAUCUAAUAAUGGUGAGGCAGUCAUUUUUAUAGAAUAAGGGCUCGCUCCUCAAUACAUAAGUGAUGGGCUAGGAGUGAUGCUCGUGGCGAGGCGGUUGCUCAGCUAGCAGCAAUGCUCUCUAAUGAUGAUGAGGGAGUCCCUUUUAUAGAAUAAGGGCUCGCUCCUUAAUACAUAAGUGAUGGGCUAGGAGUGAUGCUCGCUGUAAGGCGGUUGCUCAGCUGGCAGCGAUGUUCUCUAAUGACGGUGAGGGAGUCCCUUUUAUAGAAUAAGGGCUCGCUCCUCAGUACAUAAAUAAUAGACUAGAGUCCCCCAAGUAUUUUUCAUGAGGCCCAGUUGAGGCCCAAUAUAUGGGGUAUAGUGUAGUCCCCCAAGUCUUCGGUCAAUAGAGUUUGUUGGCUGGAGACUUCAAAUUAAAUCCAUGUAUGGGCCGAAGUGGCGAUUGUUCGGAUGCAGUAUUUGUAUACCCUGCACUGAAGCUUUGUAGGUGAAGCUUUGCAAGUGAAGCUUUGAAGCUAAAGCUCUGUAAAUGAAGCUUUUGAAGGUAGAGCUUUUGUAAAUGAAGCUUUUGAAGGUAGAGCUUUUGUAAAUGAAGCUUUUGAAGCUAAAGCUCCGUAAAUGAACCUUUUGAAGCUAGAGCUUUUGUAAAUGAAGCUUUUGAAGCUAAAGCUUUUGUAAAUGAAGCUUUUGAAGUUGAUUGACAUGAGUGAUGCUUAUGAAUGUUUAUGUUGAUUGACAUGAGUGAUGCUCAUGGAUGUUGACAUGAAUGUUGACAUGAGUGAUGCUUAUGAAUAUUGACAUGAGUGAUGCUCAUGAAUGUUUAUGUAUGAUUGAUAUGAGUAAUGCUCAUGUAUAAUUUGAAGUACUGGGCGUAUUUUUGAUCACCUGGUUGGUGAUAAUAGUGGCAGGGUGCCGAAUAAUUUUUUUGUAGUACUGGGCGUACUUUUGGUUACCUGGUUGGUGCUAUUUUAGACUUAUGGGCAUUCGCCCUUCACACAACAUUCCAGCCCAUUUUUGGGCUUUGCCGUUUUUUUAAUUUUUUAAUUUUUUUAUUAUUACCCUCUGUUGGGGUUUAUACAGAUGUCUCCGAAAGAUAAGAAAAAUAAUUUACAUCAUUCAAAAAAUAAAUAAAGCAGUCGUUGGUGUGUACUAGGUUGUUGCAGAUCCUUUUCCAUGUGCGUAUUCCAGUGGCUUUUUCAGAAAAGUGGGAACAUGCAUAAUGAAAGUUUUUUUCAAAAGUUGAUGGCAUCUUCUGCUUUGGUGGUCAACAAAAGAAAAAGUAUAAUCCUGGCUUUUUCCUUUCUAUAUUCCUUUUCUUUUGCUUUUUGUUGGUAGCGUUCAUUGGCUUGGAUGGUUUUUGAGAGACUGGUGGCCCAUCAUCAUCAUGGUUGUGGACUGCACCACCCCACCAUGCAUCCCAUUAAUAUUAUCUGCUGCAGUACCAUGACCAUGCACAUGCAACCGCUGUCAGAUCUGAAUUUGAAUGAGCUGGCUUGUUGGCUCAUCAUCAUUAUGGUUGUGGACUGCACCACCCCACCAUACACCCCAUUAAUAUUAUCUACUUUUGCUUUUGUUUCUGGGCACUGGGUUGAGAUUCCGAGUUCGAGGGAUCUGAGUCGGGAGCAAACGUUCUUUUGAGCUUUCACCCUGCAAAGUCUUCGAUCACCGGAGUCCUCAACAUUAAGCAGAAGAUGGAAGGAAUGGGAACAGAGUCAGGGAAAACAUCAGUGAUGUGGGGGAUGUUGAACUACUCCUCGAAAUCCCCCUGGAACUUGGAUUUCCAGUCAGGAUCGCUGACAUCGAUCUGCUGCCCAUUAUGGCUCUUGCUCUGGACGAAGGUGCGGUUGAAUGCGAUCACUCUCGUUCGCCUAAGAGAAGGCGAAACCUAGAAGCGAAGAGACCAGAGGGCUCGAGAGAGGCCUCGUGGAGGAGGUCCCGCUUGAUGUUCUUCGUGCGAUCGGCUAGGGCUUCCGGCUCUUCUUUAAAAGUCGUCGUGUCUUCCUGAAGAUCGUGGAGGCGGUACUUCUGGCCCAACGAUCUGACGCUCAAUAGCAGAAUUCUAGUCAUUGCAAAGAACUGGAUGAAGCUGUCCUUGCGCUUCACAGCAUUUGCUAUGAACCCCAACAAUUUCUUUGAGUUCUGGACGCUCACGGAAGAACUUGGCGAUGCUGAUGAAGCCAUGACGACGAAAACUCUGUUACACAGAGCGCAACGGCAGCACGAGUGUGAUGAACUGAUAAAAAGUGAAGACGGAGACGGUGAACGGAGAAUCGAAGACUCUAGAUCCCGUCCAAAAUUACUGGUUUCGGCAUCGAGGGUUUUAAGACUUUGAACCGGCAGCACUAGAGAAAAAACAGUAGUGAGAAAUCGUCGUCUGAGCAGCCUGUUGCUUCGGCGGCUUUAUCAGAGACAACUUGAGAGAAAGAGCAAUGGACAUGCCCACAAUGAAGAGGAAGAAGGGCAUCACAAAGUCUGCAAGAUUGCAACCGUUCCAUGGCGCAUGACCAAUCACUGGCCACUCUCCACCCGCAUCGUCAACCAGAAUCAUCAACGAGAGGUGAGGCCACGAAAGAUGUCAAGCGAAGCGAGGCGCUUCGAUUUGGAUAGCUUGGGGUCGGAAACAUCGGCUUCCAACACGAUUAGACUCUAGUGGUGGCUCGUAUCGGCUUUGAUUUCAGCCAUUUUUGUGGGUUCCGAAGAACUGUUUCUUUUUUGUUGGUAUGAAGGUACAAUGAGUUCGAGGGAGAAAUCUCGGGUUUUGGGGUUACGACUUUUUCAGAAAUGCACCAAGUACAACACCAAUAAAUAAAACCCAGAGAGAGAAAUGGAGGGUUUUCUGGAAAAAAUCCAAAAGUUGGGCUCUUGGGUUUUGCAGAUUGAUGGCGGAGGUGAAAAAUUGAGAGAGAACCGACAUAACUUUUCGUGUCAUUUCCCACAAAAGGCGCCAAAUGUUGAUGCACAAAACCGGAAGGGUCUUGGAACAAUGUAAAUCGACCAUGAAUCUGCAAGAGGUAAAUAACACAAGAUGUAUCGUGGUUCACCCCAAUGUUUGGGCUACGUCUACACUGAUUAUUGUAUUUCUCUGAGAUGUUGAAGAGGGAGAGAGGGAGAGAGGGAGAGAGAGCUUCCUUAUGUGAGGAUGAGCUUCUUUGAAUAUGAGAGGGGAUGUCAGGCCUCCUUAAUUGUGAGGGUGAUGAGUCCUUUUAUAGAAUAAGGGCUCUUCACUUAUUACAUAUUUGCCCCUUCCUUUAUUACAUAAUUACAUUUAAGUCCCCCGAGUAUUUAUACGAGGUCUAAAUACGGAGGCCCUAAGUAUGAUAUAAACAAAGUUCCUUUCCAGAAAGCCAAAAUUGGAUCUCCAAUGCGUUGUAUCAUGUUCAACACAGAAAAAUUAAAUUGAAUCAAUAACAUGUAGAUCAAUUAAAAUAAAAAAUCAUAAAAAGAAUGAUUAAAACAUAAUACUCCGCUGAUUGAAGAAUAAACUCUUAUUAGCGCAACGUCAAGAGCGUGCUGAUAACGUGUUGUAAGCAUAAUUUAAUGAACAAUUAUGAAGGCCAUAGAGAGAGAAAUGUGCGGCAAUAGUAGAGAGAAAAGAUAGAUGUGUAAUUGUGGGGUGUGUGUUAUUCCAUCCCAUUGUGCCUUUAUUUAUAGUAGUAAGGAAGAUUAAUUUCUUACCCUUUAGAAUUACAACAUUUAAUAGGUAAUCUACUCCUAAUAGGAAUAUAAGAUACAUUCUCAUAACUACUAGGAUUUACACAAUCACAUUCCUACUCUUUAGCAGCACAUAUCCAAAGAUUCAGUCUUAAUGUACCAGAGCAAAUUAAGAAUUUUCAACGGUUUACUAUAAGGUGUAAAUCGUAUAUGUGAUUAAUCAGUGGCGGAGUAAAUCUACCAUCCAUUAAGCAAAUUGGAAUUUUCAACGGUUUAUUAUAAGGUGUAAAUUGUAUAUGUGAGUAAUUAGUGGUGGUGUAAAUCUACCAUCCAUUAAGCAAAUAAAAUAUACUAAGACAUUUAAAAAAAAAAAAAAGAGACAACCCGUGGCAAUUCACAGUUAUUCAUCCAUUUCGGGAAUUGAGAAGACUCAUAGAGACAUUUCAACCUCCUCCUGACCUCGUAAUUCGCCAUUUAUCAUUGAGUCACCUGCUCGUGGUUAGUAGGAUCCGUUGAUUCAUUGGAGCAAUUAGUAGUGAUGCCAAAUGCCAAUUGUAUUUAGGAGAUAUAAUGGGUGGAAUUUAAAUUAAAAAGGAACAAAAUUUUUGUAUGAUUCCCAGAAGUCUCUGUCUCUCCUCUCCAUAACUUCAUCUGUAUUGAAAUUGGAAAACCCUAUUAAAUAUUUAGUUAGGAGAGAUAAUUUGAAUUUGGACCGGCACAAUAUAAUUUAGAACUCCGUCCGUUUACCACGCGGAGGGAGAGAUCAUAAUCGAAUAAUAUUAUUAUUAAAUAAUAAUAUCAAAAAAUUGAAUAAUUAAAUGAUAUAUCAUAAUCUUGUUGCAGUCAUAUUUAGAAUAGAAAUGUAAUUGUGUACAUCCUAUUAUAUAUAUGGAGAUUUUUUAAUAUUAGGAUAUCCUAUUAGAGUUGUAAUUCUAUUAGAUAAUGAUUUAACAUAUCCUACUACUAUAAAUAUAAAUAAAGUCACAAUAGGGUGAUACAACAUACACAUAACAAUUAAAUUUCUCUCUUCUAUCUUGCCGCGCCGGCCUCUCUCCAUCUCUAGUCCUAAAUACAGUUUAGUCAAAUACGCCUACAACACGUUAUCAGCACACUCUUACCAGAAGCUAAGGAACUGAAGGAUCGUAAGAGAAGACUAUCUUCUACAAAAUUCAAAGGCUUUUAUUUGUUUUCUGUCAAUCAGGUACGCUUAAAAUAAAGUAAGAUAUUUGAAACGUCCACGACCCAUGAAAACAUUCCCCAUGAUGCAUGAACCCCAUAUAUUUAUAUUUUCCUUCCUAUAUAUAUAUAUAUAUUGUAUAUGAUUCAUAUAUUUGUCAAUAUAUAUAAGUUUCAUGUCCUACGCAAUUAUUUUGCUAUGUGGAAUUUGUGAGUCAAAGCAUAUAAAUAAAUUAGAAGCAAUUUAGGGUUUUUUCAAACCAUAGAGAUGUCGGAAAAAAAAAUUCAGGGAAAUAUACGGCACGGCUCGCCGCCACACCGUCGUGGCACCACCACUUACCACUGCAGCUAGCUUGUAGCCCAGCUGCGUGGAGCAAACAAGAAGCGACAUAGUUUGCCUCUUUGGACCAUACGGCAGCAGCCCUUUGUGCUUUGUUGCUUACGCCAGACAACCUAGGCCCUAGGCCUGAUAAGGUUCCAUGGGCCUGAAGCCCCUAACCCAAUUUGAGAAAGCCUUUAGCUUUCUUGGCCUUUGUCCCGUGUGUCCCUGGCCAAAUUCCAACAUCCCAGAGCUGCUAGGCUUUUCUUGACCCAUGACUAGACCUGCCCGCAGCAGCCUAUUGCUUGCUGGGCUUGCCCCAACCUUCAUCCCACUCACCCCCAGCUUUUGCUGCUAGGCUUGACCUGUCCCGACCCAAAAACCCGAAACCCAGCCUUGGGCUAGGCUUGCCCCGUGCCUGGUUUUUAGGCCUAAACAAGCAGCUUUUGCUGCUGGGCUCACCUAGACCACACGGCUCAGAGGCCUGCAGCCAUCAUUGUGGCCCAAUGGCUUGCAGCCAAGUUGCAGGGCUUGUCCACGUUUAGAUACCAGCCCACAUUUGGCUGGGCCGCAUUAUUUUUUCAACCCAAUGCUAAUUUUUGGCUUCCCCACUUUAUAAAUCAUGCCCAAAUAUAUAUUUUUUGGGUAAUUUGGUUUACGCUAAUUAAUUCUAAUUUAAUUAUCACUUGGUUUAUCACCAAUUGAAGCUAAUAUGACCCGUCUAUCAUUAUUUUGCUUCCAUAAUUGACCAUAUUUGGUCCCGAUCUAUUGAUUAAUUAAAAGUGACUUGUAUUCCAUUAAUCUGAUAAUUAAUCCAAAAUUAUUGACUUGAAGAUAACUUUUGGACAUUAGUGAUUCAAUAAUUUAUUUUUAUACUUUGAACCGUUGACAUCAUUUCGUAGUCCUGAAACUCUCACACUUGAGUUCCUGAAACAACUAAAAUCCAUUACACUUCAAUCAGUAUAUUGCAUUCUAUGUUAUUGUAGGAACCUCUCCUUUAUGAAUUAAUCGUUUAUAAAACUAAAUUGACCUGUAGUUUCAUAUUUAGUGCCUUUGAAACCCGAAGUUUUCAUUCAAAACUGACCACAUGAAACCUGCACCUUUCAUGUUUAAAUUAAACCAAUACAUGUCUAUAAAACCUGAAUGUUCUACGAUGUAUGUGUAUGGAUUACCAUAUGACUAACUAUGUUUUGUUGUACCAUCCGUUUUAGGGACAUGUCAAACUUGAACAAGCUCGAUUUCACCGCUCUGGAAGUAUCUGGAAGAAAAUACAUGAAGUGGGUUCAAGACGUAAAGCUCCAUCUUAUUGCAAAGAGUAUUAGAGCCACCAUCGAGGCAGCUACCGACGCUAGCCCUAUCGACUAAGCUCAGAAAGCUACUACAAUGAUCUUCAUUCGAAGACACAUCCAUGAUGCAUUCUAGAUCGAGUACCUCGUUGAGGAGGACCUACGCACAUUCUGGCUUGCUCUGGCCGACCGUUUCGAUCACCAGAAAGACAUUUACUUGCCUGAGUAAGACACGAUUGACGACAUCUAUGCUUCAAGACUUUAGGUCCGUGAAUGAAUACAACUCUGAAGUUUGUAGAAUUUGAUCAUUGUUUAAGUUCUAUAAAGUGGACUUAAGAGAUGCAAAUUUCUUGGAGAAUACCUAUUCGACAUUCCAUGCCAUCAAUAUUGUCCUGCAACAACAAUAUAAGGCACACAAGUUCACCAAAUAUUCCGAUUUGAUCUCUGUUUUACUUCUAGCUAAAAAAUCAUCAAGCUCAACCCACUAGCUCGAAUGUUACGCCUGAAGUGCAUGCGACCAAUUCUAACAACCACAAAUGACGAAAGAAUCGUCGUGGCCAUGGUAAUGGGCUGCAAGCCCACCCACGGGCCCAAGGUCAACAGAGCCAAGGCCCACCCAAGAGAGAAUUUGACCCACACGCGCAAACCCCUUGCCCUUAAGAUCCCAAACUUCAAGAAUAAGGGAAAAGCUAUCGUUCAAUCGGCUUCUACUGAAAUGAAUAUGUGUUACCGCUGUGGAUUAAAGGAUCAUUGGUCACGCGUAUGUAGAACUACCCCUCGAGGGCAUUACUAAGUAUCAUUCCCGUCGUGAGUCUAACUUUACCUAUAUGGAGCAUCUCGAAGAUGUUACUACAUCCAUGGAGAUAUCAGAUUUUCAGGAUGCAUAAGCUUCUAUGGACGAAUAAGUUUUAUUCUUCUAAACAUGUUUUUAUGGUGUUUUUACCCCUAGUGGCCGAACCCACUAGGAAUGGCUGGACCUAGACCUGGCAUUUUCAACCCGACCAAUUAACCCAACCCGAUUCAACCCGUUAAAAUUAGUAUUUGGGUGAGUGCUAAACGGAUCAGAUGGUUAACGAGUCAACCCGUUAAUCACCUAUUAAAUAACGGGUCAUUUUGGUUGAACCCGCGAAACUUGUUAACCACCCGUUAACACCCGUUAGUGGCACCCUAAUUGCCAUCGUUAUUUCUGCAAGCAUAUCGUUUGCAAAACCUUGGUCAAGUGUCUGAUCAUCAAGACCUUGUUUUAGCUUGUCGAAAACUUGGAGCUGAGAUUGUGAGGCCUCAAUUUCCAAUUUCUGCAUUUCAUUUUGUAACUUAUUCACCUGAUUAGAUAUCCCCAAUAAGACGUGGGUGUUUGCAAUAGACAGAGUAGCCAAAGACCUUCUGAUAUCCCUGGUAACGUCUUGUACCUCCUUGACAAUGUGUCGGCACUUGACAAGCAAGUAGAAACACGCUCGGUUUUUAUACUUGUCAACUAGUUUGUUUGCCCUUUUAACAUCUGUUUCGAGGGACUCCAAAGCAAGCCUGGCAACUUGAGAAUCAUUCAAUUCUUGAUGUUGUAGUUCAAUGCCCGGGUAAGGAAAAAUCCCACCAACAUAGACAAUGGUUUGAUCACUGGAGAGAGAUUGGUUAGCGGUGAUGGAGUCGAUUGCAAGGGAGACUUGGGUUUUGAGGUAACAGAAGAAAACAACUGAAAGCACCAAUCUUUUUUUGGUUUGGAUGAAAAGUUAAAAAAAAUAAUAACAAAAAAAUUGUUAAUGGGUGAAACGGGUGACUUAUUAGAUUAACGAGUUGGGUUCAGAUGACCCGUUAAAUUAACGGAUCGGGUCAAACCCGACCCAUUUACAGGUCUAGCUGAACCCCCUUUAAUUUUUAGGUUUAUGGUUUAAUUUUUGGACAAUUUUUCUAAGUAUUUGGAAUAAUUUGUUUGGCUUUUUGGUUUGUUUUGAAUUAUGGAUAAUUAUUUUAUGGAUAUUAUUUCUCGAAUUGAUUAAUUGAAUGAAUGGAAUUAUAUUUAUGCAUGUGACCAAUUCAAUCAACUUAUUUCUAAAUAUGUCUAGUAGAAAGUUAGUUGUUUGGCUGAUAGUGCGAUUACGCACACCAUAGUACGUGAGCGACACUAUUUUACUAACUUCGUACCUAAGAAAGCACAUUUGACAACCCUCUCAGGCUCAUCCAAUCUGAUUGAAGGAUAUAGAAAGACCCGUAUCAUGUAGUAUAAUGGUAUCGUGUUAACCAUUAAAAAGGCCAUCUAUUCUCCAUGUUUCGGAAGAACGUUGCUAAAUUUUAGAGACAUUCAAGAUAAUCAAUAUCAUAUUAAAACCACUGAAGAGAAUGGUUCUGAAUUUCUUUGUAUCAUUUCUUACGAGUAUGGCCAGAAGCAUAUUCACGAAAAGUUAGAACGUCUCCUGAGUGGGUUGUACAUCACAACCUUUUGCGGCAUAGAAGCCCACCAUGUGGCCGGCCAUGUGCUUGAGUUCCAGAGCACUUUGCUGCUUUGGCAUAACCGUAUGUGACAUCCCAGAAGUGACAUGAUGCAUCGUAUCCUCAAAUCAUCACAUAGACAUCAUUUACCUUCCUAUAUUGGAUUCCCGCCAUGCAAAACUUGUUCUUUGAGGAAGUUGAUUACUCAAUCCUCAAUUACAAAGAUUAUUCAUAACCUUUCUAAGUUUCGUCAGAGGAUUCAAGGGGAUAUUUGUGGACAUAUCCAACCAACAUGCAGACCAUUUAGAUACUUUAUGGUGUUGGUUGAUGCAUCGAUACGUUGGUCACAUGUCUGCUUAUUGUCUACAUGCAACGCUACAUUUGCAAAACUCCUAGCACAAAUUAUUAAGCUUAGGGCUCACCACCCUGCUAAUCCGAUGAAGUCGAUUAGACUGGAUAACGCUGGAAAGUUUACGUUACAAACUUUUGACAACUAUUGCAUGUUAGUUAGGAUUGAAGUCGAACAUCAUGUACCCCAUGUUCACACCCAGAACGGCUUGACAAAAGUUUUCAUAAAGCGCAUUCAAUUGAUAGCUCGGACUUUGGUUAUGUGAACCAAAAUGCCGAUAUCUGCCUGGGGCUAUGCAAUAUUGCACAUAGCUAUGUUGGUCUGCCUAAGGCCCACCGUUACCCAACCUUAUUUACUAUUACAGUUGGUUAUUGGAUACGAGCUUGACGCCUCGUAUUUACGUAUGUUUGGAUGUGUAGUUUAUGUGUCAAUAACGCCGCCACUACAUACCAAAAUGGGUCCUUAAAGAAAUAUGGGAAUCUAUGUUAGUUAUGAUUCGCCAUCAAUUAUUCGCUAUUUAGAGCCCUUGACAAUAGAUCUCUUUACCACAAGUUCUGUGGAUUGUCACUUUGAAGAGAUAGUCUUCAUGUCGUUAGAGGGAGAUAAGCAUGUUAACAUUCCUAGAGAAUGCCACGAAUUGUCGUGGUAUGCUCCCACACUGCCCAAUGUAAAACUGAAGUGCAAUGAAUUAUAGAUCUUCAGAGUAUUGCUCAAAGCAUACCAGAUGCUUUUACUGAUCUAGCUAAGCCCAUCCCAUGUCUUGGUAUUUUCUUUCCUAAACCCUAAACCUUUCACCCCCAUUUCGUUUCCCUCACUACUCCUCCCUUGAAACCCAAACAUAACACUGCUUGCCUGAGCUCAAGCUUGAGCAUCAAUGUCUGGUAAGAUCAAUGCUUCAAAUUUCUUCGUAUUCAUUCUGCAUUCUUCUUCAUUGUUAUUCUCUUACUUGUUAUUGUCUUUUCUUUUGCUGGAUCUUCGUUUUUCUUUUCUUUUAUUCAUCAUUGUUUCUAAAAAAAAUUGGCAUUUGGUUUUUGCAGCAUUUAAUUUCUAAUGAUGUUUACUUGUACUGAAUUUGUUGUUAUGUUGUUAUAUAUUUAUUUUUUCAAUUCUGUAGACGAUGAUGAUCAAAGCUGCACCUCAAUGGUUGGUUUUGGUCAAGAUAAAAAGAUGAAGAAUUGUUGUAUAAGUGAGACUUUACUUUUGUGUUUUUACUAAAUGAUUCUUCUUUUCAUUUGCUAUUAAUUAAUACUCUGUUUUAUUGUGUUACAUUAGAUUCCGCUGUGUACACCAAAUUUAGAAUUGAUGUUUACGCGACAAUGUCUGGUGCCAAAAAUGUCAUGGAGAAAUUAUUUUGUGAAUUAGCCACUUAUCUUGAAAGUCAAAAUGAUCAUGUUUCUGUAAGAGACCCUUGCUAUAAAUACUUCCGGCAAUCUAAUAAGAUAUGGGAAUGCCAAGAAGGGUCAAAUUGGAUAAGAGCUAGAAGAUGAGAAAUAUGAAACCAAUAGGUGGGAGCAGAGAUACGGUCACAGUGCCGCAUUUAUUUGUGGUUAUGAAAAUAAGUUAGGUUGUUUUAAAUGUUCGUGUGACUUCUUUCUAAUAAUCAUUUCAACGGCUCAUGAUGUUUUAGGUUCCAAAAAUCCACAUUGAUAUCGUGUCCCUUUAGAUAUCUCCAGGAGUAUACUAAUGAUCAAAUUCUUAAAGGUGUGAUAGAAGAAGAAGCUUUGAAAGCACCAAUCAAAGAUCAUCCACCUUAUUUUGUGCUCAGAUCAUCACGUAAGGUGGUGGAUGAGUUCAUGUCCCAGAAAUCUACUCUUUUUGGAAGGUACUUUUCUUUUGCGUUAAUUAACCCUUUGAUUUAUAUGUUAAGUUAUCAAAAUUUGUGUGUUAAUAAGAUAAUAAUGUUUUAUGUAUGAAAUUCAUAUUAUUUACCUUUUACAGCUUUUUAUUAUUAAUUUUGCAGCAUCUGUUUUGGAGUUUCGUUUUGCUUAAGUUGUGUAGCUUGCUGUUGUUAUUCUUUUCGGUUGAUGAAUGAAUAUCAUUUUUUUUUAAAACCAAAAUCCGUGAUGGUUGAAGAUUUUUUGUGUUUGUUUCUUUCAAAUGAAUGAAGUAACUGUUAAAAAUGGAAGGACUCAAUGCCUUGACUUUGUAAAGCGGCAAUUAUUUUUUUAAUUUGUUGUUGGAUUUGUAAAGAUUGUAAUAGAUGGGUUGAAGUUCUCUAAAUAUAUCUAAAAGAUGGAAAAUGUAUUGAAUUUUUGUUCUGUCGUGUAUUGUUUAGACAUUUAAGCUUCACUAGUGAGAGCAAAAUAACUCUGAAGUAGCUAUACAUGCGUACUGUUGAAGUUGUUAUAUAUGGUUAGAUAAGAUUAUAUGUAUUCUGUGUGUUUUUUCAAAAAUCAACUGUAGAAGCGAAAUAAGGGAGGGUUUAUUUCUUUGUAUUUGGCAAUGUGGACAAUUGUUCUUAUAGAAUGUUAUUAAUUUUACGAUUGAUGUGUAAUUUUGUAAAUGCACAUUAAUUUGUGGUUAGAUUUGGAAGGAUUGUAGAUGGUGUUCUGAAGUCCAGUAAAGGGAAGGGAUGUAGGAGGUAAAGUGUAUAUUUUCUUUCUAAAGAAAGAUGGAACAAUAAACGUUAAAGGGUAAAUUUUACCACCUCAGGUUUAAGGUCGAUUUCAAUUCCUUACAACAUAUUUUAAAUAUUUCAUUUUCAUACCUUAAGUACUAUUUUAUUUUAAUAUAAUACCUCUGUUACUUUUUCCAUCCAUUGGUCCAUUAAAAGCUGACGUGGCUACCAAAUUUGUGUCAUGUGGCAAAAAAAAUAAAAUUUUAUGCAUUUCAAAUAUUAUAAUAAUUUAUAUAUAUUAAAAAGAAAAAAACCCAUAAACCAUCCCCGCAACCUUUUUUUUAAUUAAAAAAUUAUUGUUUUUGACACGUGUCAGCUCUUAACGAAUCAAUUGAUGGAAAAUGUAACAGAUGUAUUAUAUUGAAAAAUAGUACUUUAGGUAUAAAAGUGAAAUGUUUUAAAGAUAUAAGGAAUUGAAAUCGAUCCCAAACUUGUGAUGGUAACGUGUAAUUUACCCAAAGUAAAAAAAACAGGUUUAUUAUCUUUGGCACUUUUGUUUGCAGACAUCGAAUUAGUUUUAGGGGUGGACUUUUGCAUCGUGAAGAUAUUUUCGAUGGCAUAUCUAUGGAACUAGCUAAGGCUGUGGUUGGAGCAAUCAUUAUUAAUGUACACACAAAGGGUGAACUCCACGGUAAGUAUUUUAGUAAACCUUUUUAUCUUUUUUAAUGUUCUUGUAUUAUUUUACCAACUUAUAUAAUUUUGUUGCGACCGUGAGUUAGGGGAAUCUGUAUGGGUGGUCAUACCCUUGUCUUCGAUUGCGACGUCACCAAAGUGUAUACCUCUUUUUGCGGUCUGUCUGCUCUUAUUGUUUUUGUUCCCAUUCUCGCAUGUUGAGGGAUAGGCCAUGAGUCUAUACAGUCCUUUUUGGGUUCUCCAAAUGUGGUGCUUUUUCAUAGGUUGGAUCUAUUCGGGGUUUUGGAAUGCAUAUGGUCACCUUUGAAGUUGGAGUUUCUGAUGCACAUAUCUGAAUUAUUCAUGACAAGAUCUUAAAGAAGGCAAAGGGUUGGGGCAAGCUAGGUUUGCCUGAAGUGAUGAUUGGCAAUAUGGCUAUGCAAGGUUGAAGUCCUAGACUGAAUCCCAAGGAUAUCGGGUCGAUUUUAGAACUUUGUUUGUUAGAGAGAUUGAGAGAGUGGGAAAAAAUGGGCUGAUUAGUCUUUUUGUUCGGACAUCAAGAAUAUCCUUAAAAUAUUCUAAAAUAUUCCUGAUGUCCGAACAAAAAGACUAACUAGCCCAUUUUUUUUCAACUCUCUCAAUCUCUCUCUAAGAUAAAGUUCAAAAAUCAACCUGAUAUCCUUGGGAUUCAAUCUAGGACUGCAAACGUGCACAACCAUAUUGCCAAUUAUCACUUCAGGCAAACCCAGCUUGCCCCAACCCUUUGACUUCUUUAAGGUCUUGUUAUGAAUAAUUCAGAUAUGUGCAUUAGAAACUCCAACUUCAAUGGUGACCAAAUGCAUUCCAAAACCCCGAAUUGAUCACAACCUAUGAAAAAGCAACACAUUUGGAGAACUAAGAGAACCCAAAAAAGACUCUACAAACUCGUGGCCUAUCCCUCCACAUGCGACAAUGGGAACAAAAACAAGAAGAGCAGACAGACCGCCAAGAGAGGUAUACAACUCCAAAUACACUCUAGUGAUGUUGCAAUCGAAGACAAGGGUACGACCACCCCUACCUAUUCCCCUAAUUGACGGUUGCAACAAAAUUAUAUAAGUUGGUAAAAUAAUCCAAGAACAUUAAAAAAAAAUUAAAAGAUAAAGAGGUUUACUAAAAAACUUACCGUGGACUUCACCUCCGUGUGUACAUCAAUAACAGCAGCUCUGACCACAACCUUGGCUAGUUCCACAGAUACGUCGUCGAAAAUAUUAUCACGCUGCAAAAACCCACCCCUAAAACUAAUUCUAUGACUGUAAACAAAAGUGUCAAAGAUAAUAAACCUUUCUUUUUAACUUUUACUGUUGUUUCUUUCUUUAGAAAGAAAGAACCACAACUUACAUAUAAUUUUAUUGUAUAAAAACAUUAUAAAACAACUUCAAUAGUACGCAUGUACAUCAAUUUCAAGAAAAGUUUGACUAUUCUCCUCUCACCGGUGAAGCCUAAAUGUCUAAAGGGCUUUAGCAUACAAACCAUAAGCAGUGCAAAAAACAAAUUCAAUACACUUUCCCUCCUACAUCCCUUUACUGGACUUUCAGAACACCAUCUACAAUCCUUCCAAAUCUAACCACAAAUUAACGUGCAUAUACAAAAUUACACAUCAAUCGUUAAAUCAAAUAACAUUCUAUAAGAACAGCUCUCCACCUUGCCAAAUACAAAGAAAUAAACCCUUAUUUUCGUUUUACAAUUAAUCUUUUGAAAGAAAGAAAAAACACACAAAAACAAAAACAUAAACAUAAACUUCAAAAUAUAUACAAAAUACAUAUAACCUUAUCUAACCAUAUAAAACCAUUAUAAAACAACUUCAAUAGUACGCAUGUCCAGCUACUUCAAAAAUAUUUUGACUAUUUUGCUCUCACCAGUGAAGCCUAAAGAACACUCGACAGAACAUAAAUUCAAUACAUUUUCCAUCUUUUAGAUACCUUUACAGAACUUCAGCCCAUCUAAUAUAAUCUUUCCAAAUCCAUCAACAAACUAAAAAGCAUAUGCAAAAUUAAGCUUCAAUCCUACUAUCAAAUUAUCUUCUAAAAAAACAACUCUCUUUACCAAAGUCAAGGCAUUGAGUACUUUCAUCUUUAAAAGUUACUUCAUUCAUUUGAAAGAAACAACAACAACAACAACAAAGCCUUUUCCCACUAAGUGGGGUCGGCUAUAAUUCAUUUGAAAGAAACAAACACAAAAAAUCUUCAACCAUCACAGAUUUUGGUUCGGAAAAAACGAUAUUCAAGCAUACCAACCAAAAAGACAAAAGAGAAUAACAAUAGCAAGCUACACAACUUAAGGAAAAUGAAACUCCAAAACAUAGGCUGCAAAAUUAACAAUCAAAAAGCUAUAAAAGGUAAAUAAUAUGAAAUUCAUACAUAAAGCUUUAUGAUCUUAUUAACACAAAACAACACAAAUUUUGAUAACUUAACAUAUAAAUCAAAGGGUUAAUUAACGCAAAAAAAGCAAAAGAAAAAUACCUUCUAAAAAGAAUAGAUUUUUGGGACAUGAACUUAUCCACCACCUUACGUGAUGAUCCGAGCACAAAAUAAGGUGGAUGAUCUUUGAUUGGUGCUUUCAAAGCUUUUUCUUCUGUCACACCUUUAAGAACUUGAUCAUUAAUAUACUCCCGCGAGAUAUCUAAGGGGGCACGAUAGCAAUAUCGAGAGACAGAUUUUUUGGAACCUGAAACAGCAUGAGCUGUUGAAACGAUUAUCAGAAAGAAGGCAAACGAAAAUCAAAAGACAAACCUUUAAAACAACUUAACUUAUCUUAACUUAUUUUCAUAACCACAAAUAAAUGCGGCACUGUGACCGUAUCUCUACUCCCACCUAUUGGUUAGGUAUUUUCAUAUCUUAUAGGCUUUAGAUUUCUUAUCUUCUAGGUCUGAUCCAAUUUGACCUUUCUUAACAUUCCCAUAUCUUAUUAGAUUGUCGGAAGCUGCUAUAGCAGGAUCCUUUACAGAAACAGGAUCAUUUUGACUUUCACAAUAAGUGGCUAAUUCACGAGAUAAUUUCUACAUGACAUUUUUGGCACUAGACAUUGUCAUGUAAACAUCAAUUCUAAAUUUAGUGAAUUUGGUGUAUAUAGCGGAAUCUAACAUAACAAAAUGAAACAGAUUACUAAUUAAUAGCAAAUGAAAAGAAGAAUCAUUCAGUAAAAAAACAAAAACACAACAACAAAAAAAGUAAAGUCUCACUGAUACAGUAAGUAUUCAUCUUUUUAUCUUCACCAAAACCAACUGUUGAUAUCCUAGAGUCCGACACAAGGUAAUACUUAUUUUUGUAUAUAUAAGCAACAACAGUGGUGCCACUUUGAUCAUCAUCGUCCGAAAAAUGACUUGAUAAUUGAUAUACAUGUUAUCCCCAUGUGGGUUAGGCAUCAUCAAUCCUGCAUGAAACAAACUAAAAGACCUUUUGGUCUGUUUUAAUAGAGCACAUUUCUAGUAAUGUCUGCUCAGGUUAUUAAGUAUGGGUCAUGAAUCUGACUACAUAUAUACCAUUACACUCUUAAAAGCAAGUUUGAAUCGUUAAUGAAACAUAUAAGGUUAAUGGAGAAGCUAGCUGCAGCAAGUUGAUGAAAGCACAUAUUUAUGAUUGAGUUACUGAAUAUCAGCAAAUUACUAGUUACUAAAUAUCCAUUUUCGGAAACAACACAAGGAUAACAAUAUCUCCCCAAAACAUCACAAGCAACAAUUGAUGCAACCAGAAACUGAAGACCAAGAGAACAACAUAUCUACUGCCUCUAAUGGGCUUUUCUUCUAAUUCUCUUUAAAAAGUAAAUUCAUUCUCAGAAGUACACAAGGAUAGAUGGUCUAGAUGCCUAUCAACUCCCAGAAACAGAAACACAGGACAAUUUUAUACCAAUUUCCUCAAAGUAUAUACGUCCUAAAUAUUAUUGUCAAUGCAAUGGUUAAUAAGGUGUUAUAUUUGUGUGACAAAACAGCAUUCCUGAAUCUAAACAUACAUAUACUCAUAUGAGCAAAUUUGAAUCGUUUAUUAAAAAAUAUAAAUUAACAGGGAAGCUAGCUAUAUUCAAGAUUGACCUUGUCGAAAAAUGACUAGAUUCUUGAUAUAUAUGUUAUCCCUAUGUGGGGUAGGCACCAUCAAUCAUGCACGAAACAAAUUAAAAGACACUUUGGCCUUAUUUUUUUUUUGUUUAGAGAUUAUAUAGAGCACAUAUCUAGGAAUGUCUGCGCAAGUUAAUAAGUAUGGGUCAUGUCCGAAGGGAAUCUAAUUAGCAGCAAAUAUCCAAAGAUUCAAUCUUAACAGGUACCAAAGCAAAUUAAGAAUUUUCAAAAGUUUAUAAGGUGUUAAGUUAGUGUGUCAGAACCGCAUUCGUCCAUCCUGAAUCUGUCUAUCCAUAUACCAGUCUUAACGGGUACCAAAGCAAAUUAAGAAUCUGCAAUCAGAAACUGAAGACCAAGAGAACAGCUAUAUCUACUGCUUGUAAUAGGCUUUUGUUCUAAUUCCCUUUGGAAAGGUACAAAGUUACUAGUUACUUCAUAUCGUUCCCAAUUGCCUCUUCCUUCUGGUUGCAUCAAUCGACAAAUUACUAGUUUUUUUUUUUUUUUUUGGACAAACUACAAAUUACUAGUUACUUCAAUAAAUUACACAGAAUUUUUAAGCAACUAAAUUCAUUCCCAGAAGAACAGCACAAGGAUAGUCUAGACACCUAUCAAUUCCCAGAAACAGAAAUACAACAAUUAUGAGCAAAUUUUUUUUGAGAAUUUUACUCGAUUUUAUAACAAUCUCCUCAUAAUAUAUACGUCUUAAAUACUAUUUUCAAAUCAAUUAAAAAUACUCUGGCGAUAUCACAUAGAAUUUCAUUCAAUUACAUAAACCAAAAGGUGAAUAAACUCAAUAUAAAAUAAGGAAAAGUUUCGACAUCAGAAAUUCUGGUACCAAAAUGAAAAAAUAAAAGAAAUUCGUCAAAACACAAAAAGCAUACGUACCAGCAGUUUCAUCUUCUGCCUCAAAAAGCGAUGAUUGUUUAGUUGAAUGCGGUGAUUGGGAUCUGUGUCUGUGUCAAAUCGAGAAAGAGAAUGUAAGAAUUUUAGGGUUUGUUGUAGUGAACUUGUGGCGGUGGGAAACUGGGAAUUGGGAGGUAGCGUGCCUAAACAUUUAUUCUUCGACCCCCAGUUUCUGGCACACAAGAAAAAAAAACAAAAAGCAAAAUCAUACAUACAUACCAGGUUCAGGUUUAGGUUUCUCCUCCUUGGAAUCUUCUGCCUCUCCAAGCCGUGGUUGUUUGGUAGGUCGCGGAUCCUCAUCGUCCCCGUCCGGACGGGUAUUGGGCACCGGCGCCAUUGGAUCUCUGUCUGUGAAAUCGAGAAGAGAUGCAGGAACCGAAAUGGGAAAUAAUUGGGAGGCAGCGUUUUUUUUUUCUUUCUAUUUCUUGCUCAUCGACUUCCCACAACAUCAACAUUGUGAGGAAGCAGAAACUAUGGAUAACAUAGAAAUUUUGAUUUUGCUGUGUGAUUUCUUUAGGAUAGAUAUGAAUUAUAUAGAGGGAAAAAAAAGAUUAGAUUGUAGAUAAUUUCGUGUGGCAUGCCCUCAUUCGUUAAAAAUCUGCUCGAAAUCUAUCCUCAAGGAUUCUAAACAGAUUGUGACACGUAGCAUGAUGAGAUUGGUUAAAAAUCUUAUCAGAAAUCUAUCAUCAACAAUUUUAAAAAGCUAACGACAUGUGGCGUAAUGGUAUUGGAUAAAAAUAUUAUCGAAAUCUAUUAUAAAAAGUUAUCGUUUCUGAUAAUGACACAUGACGAAACGAGACCGAUUAAAAAUAUUAUCUGAAAUUACAAAUAAAAUUAUUUUUUAUUAUUUUAUAAUAAAAAAUACAAAUAUUUUAUUACAUAUUAUUAUGACUAUUCAGUUUAGAUGUAGAUAUAUAAAAUGUAAUUACUGUUCAUUAAAGAGAAUUACUAUUCAUUGGAAGGGAUUGAAUAGGCAACUGUUCUGGGAGAGCAUUCUACACUGGAAGUGCUCUUAAACACGCGAGAUAUUCGAAAUUUUCUAGGGCAUUCGCCAAUUAAAUGAACGGUUAGAUUAUGUGGAUUAAAAGAUCCAACGGCCAAAAAUAAAGGAUUUGUGACUUGUUCACCCGGUGUUGGCUUAGCCUCAAGGUUGUGUGCUAGAUGUGCAAGGAGAAAAAUUGGAAUUCAAAAUCCUUAGGCCAUCUAAGGAAUUUUUCCUAUCUUUCUCCUCGCGUCUCUCCCUUUCUUCUUUCCCUCGUCUACUCUACCAUCAGGUCCACCAAGGCUAACAUGGACGUCGAGACCUUCUACAGCAGCAUCAUCACUGUCAUCUUCAUUGGGGAAGGCGAGACUGUUUGGGUUAAAACUUGAACUUUUGGCUAAAAAGGGGGUUAGCCCAAAAGGAGGUCCAAAAUGAAGGAAGCCGAAGCCUAGAAGAAGGAAGAAGACAUUUUCCCGACUAAGUGCAGAUCCUUUAAGCCACUUGCUCACCUACCUAGAGGCCAAGUGGUAUAGACUAGCCAGCUAAUCAGCCCAAAAGUACUUUAUAAUGGCAGUACAAGUAAAAAGCUGAUGAGUCACUACCCUUCAGCUGUAUUCGGGUAAGAUUAAUGCUGCAGGCAGCCAUGCCAAAUCAUCUAUAAAAAGAGAAAGAGAAAUCAGAGAUAAGGACACUCAAUCAAACAAACAACUACAUAAACUCUGCUCAAGCCAGAUUUGCAUACGAAGCUGUAGUCAGCAUCAAGCCUUCAUCCCUUUCGGAAUCAACCUUCACCAAAAAGCCUUUGUAAAAGCUCUACUACCCUAUCUAAAACUUGUUCUAGUAUCGAUUCCCUCGUCCCCCAAUCUCUCAUUCUAGCACUCAAAUCCUUUGUAAAUCACAAAGGGAGGAAGUUGCAAGACAAUUAGCCUUGCCCGACAAGGUGAAAACCUUGCCUAACCCUCUUUGUUUUGUCUUUUCAUUCAUAAAUCUAGUAAUAUGAUGUAUACUUCCAUCUGCAUCCAAGUUAUUUCUAGCAAGUUUGUGAUUAAAAUACUUAUAAGUUCUAACCCUUCGGGCAUACAAGAUUGAUUAAUUAAAAAUCAUUGGUCUCAAGGUAGAAAAAAGAACUUUAUGUGGACUUAACUCAUCCGCGACAUUCCUUGAUAACAAGAAGUUCGAAGUUACUUGGGGUGCAAGUAAUCAGCCUAUUUCUCAAUUUUACUUCUGUUAUAUUAUGAUUGUCAUAGAACGUUUGAGUAUAGAAUUAACUCUGAUGGGAAGCCUCAAGGUCUAUACCUAAAGCCUUACAAAGGCACCCAUCUAGGUUCGUUCUGCUUUCCGGGCUCGGACGAUUAAAGGGUAACGGUUGUAAAACUUCUGCAACAAUGAAACAACCACUAUAUGUUCGAGUACUUGGUUAGUUUUGAUGUGAAGCCUCAAGGCCUACACCUAAUACCCUACAAAGGCACAUUUCAUAGCUAACUCGGUCUCUCAGGCAUAUACAAUCAAAACUAAACAUCUGUUUUACAUCUAUCAUGCUAAAGAUGACAGUGGCAUGCCUGAACACCUAAAGUUAGUUUUGAUUGGAAGCCUCAAGGCAUACACCUAAGGCCCCACAAAGGCACCUUUCAGAAUUAACUUUGUCCUUCUCUUACAGCCCGCCAAUAAGCAGAAGCUCGACAAACAAUAUCAACCAGCGCCAACCUCUCGGGGAGCUGUGUGCUCGUCGGCCAGGAAACGUCCCCAUCGGAAAUUCCUCAAGACCAACAGAGACCAUAGUGGGCAUCGACCCAUGUGCCGAAUUUUGCCUGCUGACGUGGAGGUAGCUGUCAGAAUUGUCAAGAAUAGGAAACCCAAUGAUGCCGAUUCCACUCUAGUGACCACUGCUCCACCCAAGUUUUAUGUUGCAACCCUGCCUCUGAUUCCUCGCUCAACUGUGAUGCCAUUUAUCACGAUACAGGCUGCUAUUUCGAAGAACAUGGUGCAAAGUCUUUUAGUGUCGACUUUCCAGAUCGGGUAUUCGAUUAACAGUGACACCAUCGAUGCCAUCUAUGAUAUGGGUAAAUUGUGGAUGGUGUAUAGACCAAUUGAAUAGUUGGUAUGCAAUGUCAUUUGGUUUGAUUACUGUUUGAAAUUCUAGGAUAGGGGGAAUGUGGAGAGAGAGAGAGAGAGAGAAAGAAAGAAAGAAAGAGAGAAAGAGAGAAAGAGAGAAAGAGAGAUAGAGCGUGGUGGGAGAAAAGAGAAAGACAGUGGGCGAGGGAUUUAGGUUUUUGUACAGACAAAAAAAUGGCUUCCGUCGAUGACGGGGUUGAGAGCACAGAGAGAGAGAGAGGAAAUGGGGCUAGAGAUUGAAUUAUGGUGGGGUUUCUAUGAUAAGUGAUGAGAUUCGAGGCAAUAUGGAUGGAACACGUGGUCAGAUUUGGGAAGCCGACGACGGAGUAGGUGAGGGAGGGAAGAGGGAGAGAGACAUGAGGAGAGAGAUAGGGUUUAUUAAUAAAUUUUAAUUGUUAAAUAAAAAAUUAAUACAGUUGGUGAAGAGUGGAUUUUGCAGCUGCCAUGUCAUCAUUUAAUAGCGAAAUUGACAAAAUAUUUAACGGAGAUUUGACAUUGUAACGAAUUCAUAAGUUGAGGUAUGACAUUGCAAUGUUUAAAAUAUGAUGUAUGAGAUUGUGGUUUGACCCAUAAUUAAGGUAGUUUUGUAUAAUUUACACUAAAUUUAAUCUAUACUAAAACUGAAAACAAGUUGAAACACUGUUCAUAAACACAGUGUUCUUCCUGUUGUACACCUACUUAGUUUCUUUUAAUUUAAUUUUGCCACUGUCUGAGAAAUAGAGGUUUUGGUUCUGUUAUUUCAUCGCAUCUCAAUUUUUGGUUUAUUCCGUCGCAUCCCUUUCAACCCCAACGAACGAUCGAUUGAAUUUUAUUGAAGCAGCAAGUCGAAGGGAAGUCGCAGGUUCAACGCCGGCUUCCUCUUCACCGUGACCAUUAAUUCAAAGGAAAACUAACGAAAAGUCCAAAAAAACUUCUCUUUUAAUGAAAAGCCAUUUUUAAAUGUAUAGUGAAUAGUGCCAGUUAAAGGUAAAAAUGUGGUUUUUCGUUAAAAGUGAACAAUACCAGGAGUGUUUUAUUAAAACUCCUUAAUUCAAUCUAGCCGUCUCCCCUUUCCCCUCCACUUUCACCACAACAUCUUGGGUAAGCUUUGAAAUCUUUAUAGAUGAAUAGCUCUAAAGAUGUCUGUUGUUGUGUUGUUACAAAAUUUAGCCCUUUGGGGUUUCCUCUGUUUCUCUUUCUAUUGGUCUAAUUUGGGGUGAAAUUGUUGAAUUUUUGUUGAAUUAGAAUGUGAGUUUAAUUGUAAUAAUUUGAUACACAAUGACUGGAAACAAUUUUUUUUUUAAUUUUUUUUUAGUUUUUUUUAUGGUUGUCACUUUGGGGUUUUAGGGUGCGUUUGUUUGCACUCACUAGCAUUCAGUAGAUUAGAUUGGACUAAGUGGUAGUCUAGUCCUGUGUUUGAUACAAACCGGGACAAGCUUUAAUAAGACUCGUCCCGACUAAAUAGGACUAAGCACUUGGCUAAAGGGUCUUAGCGAGACCCCCCAAAAUCAGCCGGACUGCUAAGCCAACUCCUCCCUGCUUCGUCCCUCCUCGUUUUGCCCCUCCCAUUUACUUAUCCCUUGCAAGAUUCGGAACCUAGGUCCCAUAUAUAAACUAUGCCCUGCUUCACCCCUUUCAUCUACCAUUUCCAAAUCCAAAUCCCGCAAAAUUCGAAGCAAAAUAGGCAAAAAAUUCUGCAAUAUUACCACUUUCAAAACCAAAUUAAAAUCCAAAAUUGUAAACAAAAAAGCCAUUUUUUUUUUUUUACAAAAAAUGUUGUGCGUCUGAAACACACAGCAGUCACUUUAAUCACACUGCACCUAGUCCAGACUCCCUAAUUGCAGACCUUCGCCAUUGACGCCAGAGAAGUAGAAAUUUAAUUGACAUCAUUGUUGUUAAUCCUGUCGGUUAUAUCCGACAAGAAUUCUUAAACAAAUUUUUUAAUCCAACGGCUAGCUGACGUUAGCUAGCCGUUAUUUUUGAAUUUUUUUUACAUUUUUUUUUACAAAAUCUUUUUCCUUUAAAUUCUAUUUUUUUUUCUAUAACUUCCUUUAACUUCUAUUUUACAAAAUUCGUUUCAUAUUUUUUUGUAAAUUCUAUUUUUUUUCCUAUAACUUCUAUUUUACAAAAUUUGUUUCAUAUUUUUUUUAAAUUUUAUUUUUUUCCUAUUACUUCUAUUUUACAAAAUUUGUUUCAUAUAUUUUUUAAAUUCUAUUUUUUUCCUAUAACUUCCUAAGUCAUUAUACAACAUUAAAUUAAAUUAAGUAACAUGAAACAACAUUUAAAUUUAAUUUGUAGUUUUUAAAUUUAAGUUGUUUUUAAACAUAAGUUGUAGUUUUCCAAUUUAAGUUGUUGUAGUUUUCAAAUUUAAGUUGUUGUAGUUUUUAAAUUUAAAUAAUGAAUUAUGUUUGGCCCUAUGACCCUUUGGCCCUCGGUUGGAGACAGUUUUUUGUGACAUAGCUAAAACGAGCCAUAUGACCCUUUGGCCCUUAUUUGGAGAUGGAGGCAAAUAUGGUCAUGUACUGUUUAUUAAAAUAUUAAUAUCUUGGAGGGCCAAAGGGCUCGCUAAUGAUGUGAUGAUAGAAGCACUCUCUCUCCUUUUUCUGUUUAGCCAUGACGGACACCUUUAUGUAUGUAAUUUUGAGACACCAAAAAGGAACAGAGGCUCAAUCUAGAUUUGUCAUAACUACCAACCACCUCGAAUUAAACCCAAGACCCUGUUCUAGAGCUGUCGGAACUAAAAGAAAGAGAAAGGCGGCUCUUCAAUUACCGGGGUACAUCUAGUCCUGUGCUUUAACCAUAAAGCUAGCUAGAUAAAAUUCAUCGGUUUGCUUUAGCCCUUUGGCCCUCGUUCUGUUGGGGUCUUAGCACCUGACUUUGUUAUGCAAAUAGCCACCCUAUAACCACCAUAAGCAGGCAAAUUCUGUGAGAAUUUCCGCAUAAAAACUUCUAUACGUACCGAGAAAAUAAAUAGUUUGUAGACAUCUUAAGAUGUAAUUAUCUCUGAGUUUAUAUGAGCACUUGAACUCUAUGAGCACUUGAAUUCUAUGAAUACUUGAAUUCUUUCUAAUCAUCAUAUGGCCUAUAGUUUAAGCACUUCAAAUUUGAAGCAUGCUGUAUUGCAGAGUAUACAAUUCCUUGCUGCCUAUGAGGUUUGUUAUUUGUUUACUUUUUGUCCCUCUUCUUUAGUUAAGGCUUCUUUUUUGUUUGACUAAACUUUGAUUUUUGUACUGCUAAUGAAGAUUUUUCAAGAGGCUUUUUCCUUUCUUAAAUCAAGGAUAAAAUGAGUGUCCUAAAAGUUGCUUGAUGGCUUUUGACAGCAUGCUUGCAAUCUCGAAAACUAGGGGAAAAGAACCUUCCUAUGAUGAAAUUGAACCUAUCUUCCGUCCCUCUCGAACUUGCCUCAUGUCGCUCUCAAAUGCCAGGUAAGCUAUUGACCACCCUCUCUCCAUCUUCUUCUUCUUUUUCUUUCGCUUCUCCCUGUGCAAAUCUCAGAGGCGUCUACCACAAUUGCUUCACCGGGUCCUCUUGUCAUAAAAUUAGUUAUCAUUAUGAAUUUUUAUUACUUAAAGUUAAAGCAUAUGCAAAUAUUGAAGAGGUCCUUCGUCUUCCCAAUACUCGUCUAUUGAAGGGAUGAAUUUUUAUUGAUUGAAGUUAAAUUAAUGCGUAUUAUGUUAUCAGUUUGGUGUUGUAAUUUUACUUGCUAUAUAUAUACACAUCCCAAUAUCCAACUCUGGUUUUUGUUAGCAGAAAGAGUAGGUCCAAGUGGCUAGCUGUGAUAACCUCACAAUAAGUAUGUAUUUCUUCUUUUAUAUAAUCAAUUCUAUAGUUGCUGUAUUUAUUUUUUUCUCUGAUUCAUAUUUGCAUUCUACUCGUUUUCUUUGCAGCUGACUUAUCAAGUUACUAAACAACAAGCGGAUCUGCUGUUUUUUAUUUUAGUCAAAGCAAACAAACUAAGGGUCUAAAAGAUUGUCUAAAUGGAUCUUAAAAUAGUAGAAAAUGCAGAAAAGUUUGAAAUAAAUUGAGAUCUAAUAUUGUGAGUUAAUUAUCUGUACUAAGCAUAAAACAAAGGGAGUUCUUAUUGAUUCAAGGACGAACCAUUUUAUUAGAGGUGUGAUAUCCACACAUCUCAUUUUACUUCUCACACAUCUUUUUAAUUUUCAACUGUUGGAUCAGAUGAAUUGAAGAAGAUCAACGGAUAGAAAUUAUCAAGAAGUGUGUGAGAAGUAAAAUGGGGUGUGUGGAUAGCACAUCCCUUUUAUCAUGAUAUUUUGAACAAUGAAUGUGUGUUUUCAGGUAAACAAGAAGCUAAAGCAUAUUCUAAGGAUUUUUCGACCUAUUGUGGAUAGUGAGAUGCCAAUUUUGUUCUUUUUUACGGAAAUUUUAAUAUUUUAUCUUUUGAAAUAAGCGUUUUUAUAAGCCAGUUAAGGCUCCCAUGAUUCAGAAGCCUAACCAAUAAUACUCUUCUAUUUUUGGUGCCAAUGAAACAAAUAAUUAAUGGUUAUCCGUAUUGUACAUUUAACGUCAGUGUUUUUUGUUUGCUAAUUUUGAAAUUAUACUUGCAGUUAACUGAAUUGGUAAAGAAAGGCUCGGUUCAGUGGUAAAGCCAUGAAUUGUCGAUGGGAGGAGCGAAAUUUCAAAGGUUAAUUAAAAGGUCCCAAUAAAAAAAACUUAACGAAAAAGAAAGUGUUCAUACAACAAGAGACGCAAGAAAUACACAACAAAACCAAAAGAAAUCAUUUUUCCAUUUGACUACCAUAGAAAACCAAACAUGUUAUUCUCAACAGGCUUCAUUGACUAGAGAGUAUUGACCAAAUGGAGAAAGGCAUACAAGUUGAAAGAUUGAUUUGCUACAAGACCAAGACUUGAAUAACAAACAUAUGAAUACAUUUGGAUAAUAAACACAUGAAACACGAUGAACCAUACAUGCAGCUGUUUGCACCUAAAAUGUACCCAUUUUUACUUAUUUGGGCAAUUUGGGUAAAAUAUGGUAUUUGGAGGAUUAAUGAGCAAGAAGACUAACUUUGAAGAUAUUUAGCUAUCAAGUGGAGGGGUUUGACACUAUAAUAUUGUUUCUCCCAUUUGUUUGGGUGGUGGAGGUUUGUCAAGCCUUUAUUUAAUCAACAAAUUGCAUGCUUGUAAGGGCUGGUUUGGUAUUGCUGUGCUUUAAAAAAAAGCUGCUGUGAGAAUAAGCGGCUGUGCUGAGAAAAUAAGCGGCUGUGAAAUAAAUCAACAGAGUGUUUGGUAAACUUUUUUGUAAAAGUGCUUUUGGAAAAAAAAGCAGUCUGAUAGUGGGUCUUUUCAUUAAAGGAGCACUGUAGUUCUGUGUGCUUUGAAAAAAAGCCAGUUUUCCAAAGCUACAAAUUGCAGCUUCAGCUUUUUCCUUUGAUUUCAGCUUAUUCUCACAGCAGCUUCCAAAAUAAGCCAUUUUUUUUAAGUUUACCAAACACCAAAAACACUCCCAGCUUUUUUUCAUAUGAGCUUUUUUUAAAAUCACCUCAACCCCAAACUGGGGCUAAAUGGGUUGGAAGGCAACAUACGGAUGUGGAUGUAGAGAACAUGUGAAAGAAGCCAACUUGCUUCUUUUAAAUGUUAGUUUAUUACAAGUGGGAAGAUAUGUGAUGAAAGCAUGUGAUGGAAAUGCAAGUUCCCCUUUUGAUAUUAUUUCUCCAUGCAAAUUGGCAAGUGAAAUACAAACUGCCCAAGUUUCUUUCAGGCAGAUGCAAUGUCUUCAGCAGGGGGUUUCCUCCAAAUCUCUAUUUAAAGGAGCCCAAACACAAGGAUUAUGGACACUCAAUCAAACAAACAAAUACAAGCACAAACUCUGCUUAAACCAGAUUUGCCUUCAACGAAGCUGUAGUCAGCCCAAGCCUUCAUCCCUUUCGGGAUCAACCCUCACCCAAAGCCUUUGUAAUAGCUCUACUACCUUGUCUAAAAAACUUGUUGUAGUAUCGAUUUCCUUUUGUAAACCCAUCUCCCUACCCCUCUUUCUAAGCUCACAAACCCCUUGAUAAACCACAAAGAUAGGAAGUUGCAAGACGAUCAGCCUUGCCCGACAAGGUGAAACCUUGCCCGACCCUCUUUGUUUUUGUCUUUUCAUUCAGUAGUCUAGCAAUAUGUUGUAUACUUCCAGUUGUAUCCAACUUAUUUCUGGCAAGUUGAUGAUUAAAAAGGCUCCUCAGUUCUUGAAUCUGAUUUAAAUAUGUCUUCACAGAUUAAAUCAGAUCUAAGUUCUAAGCCCUUGGACAUGUAAGAUUGAUCAUUUAAAAGUCCUUGGUCUCAAGGCAUAAAAAAGAACUUUAUGUGGACUUAACACAUCCACGACAGUCUUUGAUAAACAAGAAGUCCGAAGUUACUUGGGGCGCAGGUAAUCGACCUAUCCCUUAGUAUUAUUUCUAUUAUAUUAUGAUUAUCGUAGAACGUUUGAGCAUAGAAGGAAUUCUGAUGGGAAGCCUCAAGGCCUACACCUAAGGCCCUACAAAGGCACCUAUUUGGAUUCUUUCUGCUUUUCGGGCUCGGGUAAUUAGAAGUAUAAUAGUCAUAAUACUUAUGUAAUCAAUGAAACAAACAUUAUAUAUUCAAGUGGGUUAGUUCCUGAUUGGAAGCCUCAAGGCCUACACCUAAGGCCCUACAAAAGCACCUUUCAUAACUAAAACAGCCUCUCGGGUAUAUAUACAACUAAAACUCAACAUCCGUUUUACAUCUGCCAUGCUGAAGAUGGCAGUGGCACGCUUGAGCAUUUAAAAGUUAAUCUUGAUUGUGAGCCUCAAUGCCUAUACCUAAGGCCCCACAAAUGCGUCUUUCAAAGUUAACUCUGUCAUUCUCUUUCAGCCUUGCUCGACAAGCCCGCCAGUGAAGCAGAAGCCCGACAGAAAGCAUCGACCGGCGCCAACCUCUUGGGGAGCUGUGCGCUCGUCGGCUAGGAAACAUCCCCAACGGAAAUUCUAGCCACAAACAGCAGCAUUCGACACUAACUUAAUUUAUUGACUUACACCAAAAGGGUAUAGGUGUCUCCGUCCCUUAAGAUGUCAACUUCAAGACCCUCGGAUGUUCCAGUUUUUUUUGAAAUGUGAGUAGAAAUUAGAAAACAUCUCCAUAUGACCUUUUUUAAAAAUUGAAAAGAUUUCAUAAAUUCUACAUUUCAGAUAAUCAAUCGUGAAGGAUAACUCUACAAAAUGCAUUGCCCAUCCACCGAGAGCUGAAUGAGUUUCAUAGAUUUUGGGGGGGGGGGGUCUUCAGAUAAAUAAAGCCAAAUGUUUAAUACCAAUCUCAACCACCAAUUAUAAGGUUAAAUGAAAAAAAAAAAAAAAUCUCUUUCAUAAGUGGGGUGCUUAUUCGAGCGUUUGAGUUCAAGGGAGAGACUAGAUAGAGAGAGGAUUAAUGGUGGAGAUCUAAUAUCAAGUCUCAAAACAAAACGUGCGUUUCAUUUAUUUCUUUUCCCAACGGUCCAAAACGACCUCGUUUUGGGCUUGGAUAAACUUAGCAACUUUAUCUUUUGACACAUUAGAGAUGCUCUUAGUGAUUCUUAAAGAAAAAAAAUUAUUUAUUUUACGGCCAUAAAAUUUAGAGGGAAAAUUUGGAGAGAGUUGGAGAUUUCACUGUAGAUGGUACGAUUUCUUACUUUGUGGAUGCUUAUGCCUGUUCAGAGAAAGAAAAGAAGAGAGAGUUGCUCAUGUUCUUGCAAACCAGCAUUCAAAACUCAGUUAGAAUAUCUUCAAAGUUUGAACAGAGAAGUGGAUGAGUUUGUGGAGACAAAACUUGGUUAUAAAAAUAAAAAAAAUAAAAAAAAAUAAAAAAAAACACUCUUUUUGUUUCCUUACAUCUCAAGCAAUCAAAAUCAAGAUAUAUCUUUUGUUUUUUUUUUCCAAGACGAAAAUAACAAUUACAAAGAAAAGGCCUUGUGGCAAGAAGAGCUAGCAAAAUCCCGUAAUUGAUUUUUAGAAUUACGCUUUUUUGGUGAAGCAUUUAACUCCAAGAUUCCAUGGUAAGGGGAAUAGCGGUAAUCUAUGCCCACUUAUACAAAGUGAGAGCGUGGAGAGAAAUUGUAGAAUGCUUAAGAUAGUGUGAUUCUCUUUAUGCCCCCAUUUAUUAAUUGUAAUCUAAGAGGAAGGAGUGACUUAUCAUCUAAGAAAUUACAAUUCUAAUAGGAAAGACUUGUCCUCCAAGAAAUUACAAUUCUAUGUAUGCAUGUGCUCAUUAUUAUAGUGAUGGUGUAAAUCCUAGUUAUUAGAUUGAGUUUUAGAUUACCUUAUUUUAGUGAUUCUUUACUAUUAGAAUUGUAAGUACUUGGAGGAUAAGUUAUUCCUUCCUCUUAGAUUACUAUUAAUAAAAAGGAUUAAUGUUAGGGUGACUAAAUUUGUAGAUAAAAUUUUGUAAACUAAAUGAUAUGGAAGUUGAUUACUUAAACGUUGAUAGACGUGCUCAUUCAUAUUGGUGACACAUCAUUUAGUUUGCAAAUUUUUUGUCUAUAAAUUUAGUCUCUCUAGCAUUACCCUUAGUAAAAGUAUUGACAUGUGAGAAUCACACAAUCUUAAACAUUCUACGAUUUCUAUCCACGCUUUCACUUGCUGCACCAUCUCUCAACCCUUUAGAAAAUGGCCACAACAUAUAUCACAAUGUUAUGGUAAAAUGUUCUAUUCUUGUAUAAUUGGCAUAGAUCGCUACUAGGAUUUGGAAAUUGGGAGGUAGCGUUCUUAAACGCGUUAGUUAUCCGAAAUUUCUAGAGCAUACACCAAUUAAAUGAAUGGUUGGAUCAUGUGGAGUAAAAGAUCCAACGGCCAAAAAUAAAAGAUUUGUGCCCUGAAGGCUUGGCCAUCAGGGUGUUUGUGUGUGUAAUAUGUGAGAAAAUACACUUGUUUACCGGUUAAAUCUUGCUCCCCUUACCAACCAAACAAAAACAAGAAGAAGAAAUCCUAAACCACACCCCCGACUAUAUAUAAAUAAAAUCCAACGACUUCGAAAAUUUUGCCAACUUAAAACAUGAAACCUGCUUGAAAUCCAUGACCCGUUUUAUGAGGAACCAGUUUGAUUUUAUAUUUUUUUCCACAAAUUCGUGGCUCCUCAUUCUAAUCCUCCCCAACUCUACCUCGUCAUCUUGUGAGACAUUGGCAAAAUGCUGCAAAAAUUAAUAGUGUUGUGAGAACAUUGUCUCGAUUGAGUUAAAGUUGAGAAAUCAUUACCACAUUUUUCUCUAAUGCAACAUAUGUUAGGUGCCAAAAAACUGCGGUGUAUAUUAUACUGCUGGUGAAAAUUAUGUAACAUACACAUAACGUUUAGCAAACUUGGGAGAAUAAAAUCACUUCCAAGUCAAAAUAGUUAGGAGAAGAAAGUAGGCAAAAUAAGGCCGUUAAGGGUCAAAUCUGAUCCAAUUUGACCCGUCUUGCCAUUCCCAUAUCAUAUUAGAUUGUCGGAAGCAGUUGUAGCAAGUUCCUUUACAGAAAAAGGAUCAUUUUGACUUUCAAGUGACUAAUUCACGAAAGAAUUUCUUGAUGACAUUUUUGGCACCAAACAAUAUCGCGUAAACAUCAAUUCCAAAUUUGGUGAAUUUGUCGUACACAUCGGAAUCUAACGUAACACGAUGAAACAUAUUAUUAAUUAAUAGCAAAAGAAAAGAAAGAUCAUUUAGUAAAAACACAAAAGUCUUAAAUCUUUUUAUCUUCAUCAAAACCAACAGUUGAUAUCCUAGAGUCCGACACAAAGUAGUACUUGUUUUUGUAUAUAUAGACAACAACAGUGAUGCCGCUUUGAUCAUCAUCGUCUGCAGCAUUAAAAAAAUAAAUACAUAACCAAAUAACAACAAAUUCAGUACAAAGAAACAACAAUAACAUCAAACAUUGCAGAAAAUUGAAUGCUGCAAAAACUGAAUGCCAAUUUUUUUUAGAAACAUUGAUGAAUAAAAGAAAAGAAAAACGAAGGUCCAGCAAAAAAAAAAGACAACAAGAAGAGAAAAACAAUGACGAAGAAAUUUGAAACAUGACAUGGUCUGAAAACCUGAAAACAAUCUGGUAUGCAUCUUGGCCACAUGGGAAUGAGCGUGCUCUUGGCCACCUGGGAAUGAGCUGGACGCCCGAGUCUAUUCGCUCACAACAGCAACAAAAGACUAUUUCAGCCAAAUCACUAACAACCGUCUCUGGUGGGUAAAAGGACGGCAACGGGCAGCUCAUAACACCGUGACCCGCCUCCAUGCAAAAACAGCGGAGGGACUCUUCAACAAAAUCUGCAACCAAACCAAAAAAAUAAAAAAAAAAGUUACUAGUUACUUCAAUAAAUUACACUAAAAACCGCGUUCCUCAAUCCUGAAUCUGACUACAUAUAUACCACUACAUUCUUAAAAGCAAGUUUGAAUCGUUAAUGAAACAUAUGAAGUUAAUGGAGAAGCUAGCUGCAGCACAUUGCUGAAAGCACAUAUUUAUGAACGAGUUACUGAAUAUCGACAAAUUACUAGUUACCAAAUGUCCAUUCUCGGAAGCAACACAUGGAUAAUAAUAUCUCCCCAAAACAUCACAAGAAAACAAUUGAUGCAACCAGAAACUGAAGACCAAGAGAACAACAUAUCUACUGCCUAUAAUGGGCUUUUCUUCUAUUUCCCUUCGGAAAGGUAAAAAGUUCCUAGUCACUUUAUAUCUUUCCCUAUUGCCUCGUUCUUUCUGGUCGCAUCAAUCGACAAAUUACUAGUUACUUCAAUAGGUCGUACCUAGUGCACAAGGCUCCCGCUUUACGCAGGGUCUGGGAUAGGUGAAUGUUGGCUAGCCUUACCCCUAUUUAUGGAGAGACUGCUCCCAAGUCUCGAACCCGAGACCUACCGCUCAUGGGCUAAUGUACUUGCCAUCGCACCAAGUGCGACCUCUUUACUAGUUACUUCAAUAGAUUACACAAAAUUUUAGGCAACUAAAUUCUUUCCCAGAACUACACAUGGAUAGUCUACACACCUAUCAAUUCCCAGAUACAGAAACUACAACAAUAAUGAGCAAAAAAUUGUUGAGAAUUUUACUUGAUUUUUGUACCAAUUUCCUCAGGGGGUAUAUGCGCCUUAAAUACUAUUCUCAAAUCAAUUGAAAUUACUCUCGCGAUAUCCCAAAGAACUUCAUUCAAUUACAUAAACCAAAAAUUGAAUUAAAAAAGGAUAAGUUUCAAUAUCAGAAAUUCUGUUACCAAAACGAAAUAAUAAAUAAAGAAAGAAAUUCGUCAAAACACAACAAAAAGCAUACGCACCAGCAGGUUCAUCUUCUGCCUCACCAAGCGGUGAUUGUUAGCUGGGACCGGUUCCCGAUCAUUCGACGCCACGGGAUCUGUGUCUGUAAAAGGGAGUAGUAAGAGAGUGCAUAAAUUUUAGGGUUUGUUGUUGUGAACUUGUGUGGUGGUGGGGCAUUGGCAAAGUGUUGCAAAAAUUAAUAGUGUUGUGAGAACAUUGUCCCAAUUGGGUUAAAGUUGAAUGAUCAUUGCCACAAUUUUCUCCAAUGCAAUAUAUGCUAUGUGCCAAAAAAAAAAAAAAAAAAAAAACUGCAGCAUAUAUUAUACGACGCAACAUACACAUAACAUUUAGCAAACGUACGAUAAUAAAAUCACUUCCAAGUCAAAAUAGUUAGGAGAAGAACGUAAGCAAAAUAAGGCCGUUAAGGUAUGCCAUGCAUCCUGGCCACUCUAUACGACACCGUGACCCUCCUCCAUGCAAAUUAUACAGCGGCGGGGCUUUCUAAAAUCGCAGAUAUAAAAAAAGUUAUGUAAUCAAAAUUUUCAUAUUCAGAAUGAAUCAUUGAGAAAAACACAUAGCAUAUUGUGUGUAUUACCUGGAGAACGGUUUCUGAAGUGGCUAUUUGUAUUCUGCAGUCUGGCUUUGAAAGAGGAAUGAGGUUGAAAUAUGGAGGGUGUCUGAUUUGUGAGGGCCUUGAUAUUUAUACCUCACACUCUAGAAUACAUCAAAAUCAAUCCAUUUAUUGAUUCCAAUAAAUUCCCUGACUUUUUGAGUACUCUCAGAUUUAGAAAGUCACUCUAGAAAUCUGGAUUAAAUACCACCAGAUUUUGAAGGACUCUUUAUACAUCUUAAUUGAAUGCAACCUGCAUUUCACUGAUUCAAUUAAAAUCUUAAUUGAAUGCCCAUGAAUUUUCAAACUCCUUUAAAGUCUCAUAUAAUCCUAAUUCAAUACAACCUCCUAAGAUAAUUUUCCAGAUUCAUAUAACUUUUUUAGAUACAGUCACAGUGCCGCAUUUAUUUGUGGUUAUGAAAAUAAGUUAAGUUGUUUUAAAUGUUUGUCUUUUGAUUUUCGUGUGCCUUCUUUUUGAUAAUCAUUUCAACGGCUCAUGUUGUUUCAGGUUCCAAAAAUCUAUGUCUCUCGAUAUUGCUAUCGUGUCCCCUUAGAUAUAUCCCGAGAGUAUACUAAUGAUCAAAUUAUUAAAGGUGUGACAGAAAAAGAAGCUUUGAAGGCACCAAUCAAAGAUCAUCCACCUUAUUUUGUGCUCGGAUUAUCACGUAAAGUGGUGGAUGAGUUCACGCCCAAGAAAUCUACUCUAUUUUUAGAAGGUAUUUUUCUUUUGUGUUAAUUAAUCUUUUGAUUUAUAUGUUAAGUUAUCAAAAUUUGUGUGUUGUUUUGUGUUAAUAAGAUCAUAAUGUUUUCUGUAUGAAAAUUUAUGAUCUUAUUAACACAAAACAAACACACAAAUUUUGAUAACUUAAAUAUAUAAAUGAAAGAGUUAAUUAACGCAAACGAAAAAUACCUUGCAAAAAAAAAAAGAGUAGAUUUCUGGGACAUGAAUUCAAUCACCACCUUACGUGAUGAUCCGAGCACAAAAUAAGUUGGACGAUCUUUGAUUGGUGCUUUCAAAGCUUCUUCUGUCACACCUUUAAGAAUUUAAUCAUUAGUAUACUCACAGGAUAUAUCUAAGGGGACAUGAUAGCAAUAUCAAGAAACAUAGAUUUUUGGAACCUGAAGCAACAAUUGAAACAACAUGAGCCGUUGAAACGAUUAUUAGAAAGAAGGCACACGAAAAUCAAAAGACAAACAUUUAAAAUAACUCAACUUAUUUUCAUAACCACAAAUAAAAGCGGCACUGUGACCGUAUCUAAAAACGUUUAUGAAUCUGGAAAAUCAAAUUAAGGCCGUUAAGGUCUGCCAUGCAUCCUAGCCACUCAGGCUUAGAGAUGUAAAAACCAUUUCACAUCUCACUAUAAUACUGUGGUUGUUUGCUACGGAGCUCCAGCUCCAAGGCUUUUGUGUCUACAUCCGGCAUGCAUCUUGGCCACCUGGGAAUGAGCUGUGCUCUUGUCAUUCUAGCAGGUAUAUUAGAAUGGACGCCCGAGUCUAUCCGCUCACAACAGCAAUAACAGACUAUUUCAGCCAAAUCGCUAACAGCCGUCUCUGGUGGGCAAAACCACGUCAACGGGCAGCUCAUAUAACUGUGACCCUCCUCCAUGCAAAUUGAACAGCGGAGGGGUUCUUCAACAAAAUCUGCAACCAAACCAAAAAAAUAAAAUAAAAAGUUCCUAGUUACUUCAGUAAAAUACCCUAAAAAAUUUUAGCAGCAAAUAUGCAAAGAUUCAGUCUUAACGGAUACCAAAGCAAAAUAACAAUCUGCAACCAGAAACUGAAGACCAAGAGAACAGCAAUUCUACUGCCUACAAUGGGCUUUUGUUUUAAUUCCCUUGGGAAAGGUACAAAGUUACUAGUUACUUGAUAUCGUUGCCUAUUGCCUCUUUCUUUCUGGUUGCAUCAAUUGAUAAAUUGCUUGUUACUUGAAUAAAUCACACAUAAUUUUUUAAGCAACUAAAUUCAUUCCCAGAAGAACUACACAUGGAUAGUCUAGACAGCUAACAAUCCCCAGAAAUAGAAACUUACAACAAGAAAAAUCCGUACCAGUAGGUUCAUCUUCUGCCUCAACAAGCGGUGAUUGUUUAGUUGGCUGCAGUGCUUGAUCAUCAUCCAGCGCCAUGGGAUCUGUCUUGUGUAAAAUCGAGAAAGAGAUUGUAAGAAUAUUAGGGUUUGUUGUAGUGAACUUGUGGUCGUGGGAAACUAGGAAUUGGGAAUUGGGAGGUAGCGUGCCUAAACAUUUAUUCUUCAACCCCCAGUUUCCGGCACACAAAAAAAAAAACACAAAAAGCAAAAGCAUACAUACAUACCAGGUUUAGGUUUCUCCUCCUUCACAUCUUCGGCCUCUCCAAGCUGUGGUUGUUUGGUAUGGAGCUCCAGCUCCAAGGCUUUUGUGUCUACAUCUGGCAUGCAUCUUGGCCACCUGGGAAUGAGCUGUGCUCUUGUCAUUCUAGCAGGUAUAUUAGAAUGGACGCCCGAGUCUAUCCGCUCACAACAGCAAUAACAGACUAUUUCAGCCAAAUCGCUAACAGCCGUCUCUGGUGGGCAAAACCACGUCAAUGGGCAGCUCAUAUAACUGUGACCCUCCUCCAUGCAAAUUGAACAGCGGAGGGGCUCUUCAACAAAAUCUGCAACCAAACCAAAAAAAUAAAAUAAAAAGUUCCUAGUUACUUCAGUAAAAUACCCUAAAAAAUUUUAGCAGCAAAUAUCCAAAGAUUCAGUUUUAACGGGUACCAAAGCAAAUUAAGAAUUUUCAACGGUUUAUUAUAAAGGUG
rnacentral:lncRNA from 1 species